AUUUCUGGAUGACGUGGCGAACGACGUUGGGAGAGAGAGAGGUGGGAGAGAUUUGGGAGAGAUCGAAGGAGAGAGUGGGGAGAGAGAGAUUGGAGGUGGGGUUGGGGUUGUUGCGGUGGUGGGUUUUGAUUAGGGAGUGGAGUUGGUCUGAAAUUAGGGUUUCGGAUGGGGAGAGAUGGAGGAUGGGUUUGAUUAAUUCGGGUUCUUCGAGAGUUUGUAGGGCUGGAGAGGUGAGUGUUGAGAGAGGAGAGAUGAGGUGGGAGGUGAGACGUAGGCAUUGCUUUGACUUGAUUAUCAUGGCCGCCAUGGCAGUAGGGGGAGGAAGCUAGCAACCAAAAUGGAUACCAAAAAUAGUGUUAGGAUUGGUGCAGGGUUUAUGGUAUAAAACUUUUUUAAUAUUUUUUUUUGUCACGAGGAACAUAAUUCAUUAAAAAAGAAUUGAAGAUACAAAUAUCUCCUUCCUUGGAAAAAGUAUAUAAUUCAAAAUCAAAAUAAGUAAGUACUUUCGAAUAUUAGAUAAUAUCAUAUUUAACGUCUGAAAUGAUUAUAACCUAAAAAAGAUCACAUUAAAAUUUCGCAGGAGUAAAAUUUUAAAAGAAAAGAACUUAAAGAAUAAAAAAGAAUGUCUAAAAAAAUGAAUACAUCGUUUAUAAAUAGUCUAAAGACAAAAGGGGAAAAAUAGCCGGUUUGAUUCGUGAACUGCUACUGAUUUUGAAAAGAAGAAUCGAUUUAGCGUCUUAUGAGAUUAUGGGAUUAAAGAGUGUAUUAGAUUAAGACUUUGAAAGAUUUUUAUUCAUUUAUGAAAUCAGAAAAUAUUCAAUUUAGAUUUUAUAAAAUGUAUCAAAUUGGUGGGAUAUUCAAUUAAGAUUUAAAUUAUACACAACUUUUGGUGAAUUCAAUUAGAAUUUCAGAGUAUAUUUACAAAUUUGAUAACAUUCGAUUGAUAUUUUUUAUCCACUAAAAUUUGAUGAUAUUUAAAUGUUAAUGAAUUUUUUUGGAAUUCUUAAAAUGAUGGAAUUUUCACUUGACCCACUCAUCUCAUCGAGGACUCAUUUAGUCAUUAUAAAUAAAAUAUAUAUCAUUUUACCCACAUCAUUAGUCAUACAUCUUAAUUAUUUAUCAAAAAAUAAUCGUUUGGUUUUUACUGCAAAACCGCUUCGAAUAUUUUCAUAAUUGUCUCUAGUAUUUAUCAAAAUAAUUUGAGAAUUUAUAAAGAAACCUAGUUAUGUAUUUAAAAAUAUAUAUAGCUAUAAAUAUAUAUUUAUGUGAUCAUCCUAGCUAUGUUCUAUUAUAAAUUUCCCAAUUAUUUUGAUAAAUAUUAGAGACAAUUAUGAAAGUACUCGAAAUGAUUUUGUAGUAAAAAAACAAACCAUUGAUUUUUGAUAAAUGAUUGAGUAAAGAUAUAUGAAUAGUAAUAUAGAUAAAAUGAUAUAUAUUUGAUUUAUAUAGUGGUUUAAAUGGAUAAUAAGAUAUUUUGACCCACAUGCAUGAAAGAUUAUGGAAAAAGUAAUUAUAUUCAUAUUAUAAUUUGGGCCAAAAAUAUUUUACUUUGACCAAUUCUAUGCAGAGUUCGAAGUGAAUUACCACUUCCAAAGUUUUCUGAUUAUUAAUUUCUUUAAAAUCUUUUAAUGUUUUAAUUGAUGAACUCUGUAAAGAGUGUGUAGAUUAAUGGUGCAUGAACAAAGUGUGUAGAUUAAUGGUGCAUGAACACCAGCUCUGUUCCGCAUUGCUCCACCAUCAUGUAAGCUCCAAGCACCAUCACCAAGUAUGCAAUCCUCGCAAUCUUUCCCUUAAAUAGCAGUAAUUAUAGGCCUCUUAAAGUGUGCGAGUAGACAAUUUCUGUACUGGUAAUUUGACGAUAUAUAUGCAGGCAGGUUGGGGAGUACUUUAGAUAUUUAACUAACAGUCGUGACAAUAUCGGACAUGACCCCAAUCCGCAACCCGAUUCACUUAGACAAAAUCCGAAAUUCAUCCGACUGACCCGAAAUUAGAAUUUGAUUCUUACAAAACUUAAAUUUUCAGUUUAAUUCAAUUUCAAGUGAUUUUAGCUUAACCCGAAAUUGACUUGUUUGCCGACAAGAACACUGCCCUGAUGCGGUGAAUGGUGAUGCAUGCCUUACCAUUCUUAUGUCUGAUUGUAUGUAUGGUUACUUGUUAGGCUUCAUCUGAGAAACUACAUAUCUUCUCAAAAGAUGUGACAUGACAUGAGGCUGGCGGUUCCAUCUGGUAUGUUUAUUCCUUCAGUUUUCUGGGAUUCAUCUACUUGCAUAAUUUCUUCUACUUUGCCUAAUUCAUUUAUAGCUCCCAUCAGAAUGUAAAUCAUGAUGAAAACAUAUGGUUUGUUAAAUCAGUUAAACAUGCAUGAAAUAGUAAUUUACUUGUAAUGUGAUAAAGCCACAUUUGAGAUUUGACAUCCUAACUGUUAGUUAAACCUAAUUUCCCAAGUCCAAUUUCCGCCAACUAUCCUAUAAAUACUUGCUUGGUCUACCUGCAAUAUCAUCCUUGACACUUUUAUAUAUCUAGUUAGUAAAAUGGCAAACGUUGCAUACUUAGCAGUGGUAUUGGUGGUGGUGGCGGCUCGUAUGCUGGUGGAGCCGGGUGAAGCUCUAACAUGUGGUGCACCCGAGGAACAGAGGACAGGAGCUGUGUGCAAUGUUUAUACCAGAGGUGAUCAACCAGAGCCAUCUGGUGAGUGCUGCAAUGCGUAUAGAGCACUACAGUAGUCAGGAAGCAACUUCACAAAGCAGAUAUAAUCGUGGUGCUACUGCUAAUCCUGCUGCUCGUAUUCCAAGAUUUGAUUCUCUAUCAGAAAAAUGCGGACUUCCUUUUCUUUUCUCUGCUGAUCCUGAAUUCGAUUGCAAAACGUAAGUGUCUCUGAUCUGAUCAUUUCAUUAGCUUUCCAUUUUAUAGGCUAAGCUUUUUAUCUGUAAAAGCUAGCCACAAUAAUACAGAAGUCAAUAUGCUCUCAUGGAUUUUUAUUUUGCUUUCUUAUGCAGAGAAUAUUGAGGUCACUUUCUUGCAUGGAAAAGCAGUUGGAGGACAAACAAUAAUGCUAUAGCUACUUGUAUUUCUGCGCUAUUCAUUGUAAUAAGUCCCUUUAAGAAAGAGGCCUUUGUUUUUAUACAAAUGACAACUACACUGAGAAGUUUCUGCAGUGUUCUUACAUGCCCUUGUCUGAGAUGAGUAUAUUCAAAUGAAUGAUGUAUAUCAUCCAUAUCAUCUAAUCAGCAUCAACUUUAUGCACUAUAAGUGAUGUAAACUUUUAAACAUCUAGAGAAUCAACAAAAGGGUCAAAACCAAGGCUAGACUAUCUUGAAUGUCAGAUUCAGAAUAUGACAGGCAGGAUACUCUCAACUGCGUCAAUGAAAUUUAUUCUUGAAAAAGAAAUCAGAUUUGGUUUUCAACUGCGAUUGGUCUGAAGGUUCGGUCUAGCAUUAGAUGAUGUCACUCUCAUAAGGUGUUUGAGAUUAGUAAACUCAACUCCUGGGUAAUGAAGCCAAAUGAGAAUCUGGUUUAGCUCCUUAAAUGAUUAGGGAACUGUACAUAGGCCCAAGGUCUCUAAACUCUCUAGAUCCCCAAGAUUUUGUGGUAUAUGUCCCCAGAGUCUAUUAUUGGACACGUUGAGUAGUUUGAGUCUCUUGAGAUCUCCUAGUGACGCUGGAAUAUACCUUGUGUAGUAGCCUUUUUCCAUUUCACCAUCAAGUCAUUGAUCUUGAUCGAAAAGGAGAACAUGCGACUGAAUGAUGUAACUGAGGCCAUAGUUCAUUUAGAUGAGAGAUCUACAUAUUAUCUUCUAGCUCAACACCAGAGUGGAAAUGUUGGACAAGCUUCCAAUCUGACUUGGAAUCUGCAUCUGUAAACGAUUAUUUCUCAAAUCCAAUAUUUCCAAUCACUUCACAACUGAAUCUGGAAUCCAACCCGAAAAUUGAUUAUGGUAGAGAGAAUCUGUACAGGUAUAUUUCCAUCAACAACAUUUUGAUCCAACUUCAAUAUCCUCAAAUCUUCGAGCUUGCCAACUUCACUGCUCAAACCACCCUUUAACAAAUUAUGACUUAAAUCAAGAAACUGCAAGAACAUUAACUGAAAUAGUUGUGUACGAAUUGAGCCAUUAAAUAUGUAGCUUAAGUUCUUAAUCGAACAAAAUUAAACUUAAUAUGCAAUUAUAUUUUUAUCUGUGAGCUUAAAUUUUUGAUGAAAUUAAAUCAUCAUUCAAUUUUGUAAACUUUCCACAAAAUUUUCAAAAUUGUACAUUAAAAAUAUAAUCAAACACCAAUAUACACCUUUUGGAAUUUUCAUAAAAUCUACCUUUCCUAAAUCUCAUAAUAUACACUCGCAUUGAUUAAUCUGAUAAUAUCUACAUUUAUUGAUCUCCACCUAUCCACUCGCAUUGAUUUCCAUACUUUUGGAUAAUUAUGUUUAAAUAUAAAUAAUAUAAAAAUUAUGAUAUAUAAGUUCCUCUAUUAUCUUACGAAAAAAAUUAUAAAAAAUUAAAUAUUUUUUUUUUGAGAAAUCGUAACAUUACUUUAUACUGAGAUAUGAUAUUGAAAGUCAUGUAUGCUUUGCCAAAGUAGCAAAUGCAUGCAACCUUAUGAAACAUAUAAGUUUCAUGGUAUAUGUGGCUUAAAUAACUACUAAUGGUAUCUGUAGCUUAAGUAACUACUAAUGAGAUGGAAGUUUCAUGCAGAGGUAUGUGAAAAAAUUUCUUAAAAUGAUAAUUAUUUUUUAGUAUUAUUACGUGCACAAAAUUGUGUAUAAAAAAAUUGUAUACAAUGACGUGGCAAUUGAUGUGGUGUGUUUUAAUUGGGGUUGUUGAUGUAAAUACAGGGCACAUUCCAAUUAAAACCGACCACAUGUUAUUAUGUACAGAAUUUUGUAUACAAUUAUGGACACCAAGCAUUUUUCAUUAUUUUUUUUUUAUCUCUAAGCCUAAGUUUCUGAUGAAAUUAAAAAAUCAUUCAGUUUUGUAAACUUUUCUGGAAAAUUUUAAAAUUAUACAUUAAAACAUAAUUACACACCAAUAUACAACAUUUGGAAUUUUCAUAAAAUCUAUAUAACUCUGUUUUCUUGUUCUUGUGUUGACUAUACAAACAUUAUACAUCCACUCCAAUUAAUUUCCAACAUGCAGGUGCAUCAUGUACUUUUAGAUAAUUUUGUUUAAAUAUAAAUAAUAUAAAAAAGUACGAUAUAUAAGUUCCUCCAUUAUCUUACGAAAAAAAUUAUAAAAAAUUAAGUCUAACUCCCGCUUUUUGAGAAAUCAUAGCAUUACUUUUUACUGAGAUAUAAUAUUGAAAGUCAUGUAUGCUUUGCCAAAGCAGCAAAUGCAUGCAAAGCGAAAUGUUACUAGAGGUGGCCAUUCGGGCGGGUCGGGGCGGUUCGGGCCGGUUCAGGCGGUUUUCGAACCGUCGCCGGUGAAACCGUAACCGGCACGGCUAUACAAGCGGGCCGGGCCGAGCCGUGCCGGGUUAAGAGAGUGUGGAACCGGAACCGUAUAAUACGGGUUAGGUGGGUUGUACGGGUUGGCGGUUUUGGACCGGCCGACGGUUCAACCGACGGUUCAACGUGAACCGCGGUUUGCGUGAAAUGAAGUGGUUUGUUAGAAUUUGGAAUGAAGUGACCGACUAUGAUUGCUUUGCUUUGUUUUAUUUUAAUUUUUUUUCUUUUCAUUAACAAGUGUUAGUUUUUGAACCGAUUUUAGUUUAAUAUUAUUGUUUAUUUUAGUUUGAUCUUAUAAUUUAAUUUAAUUAUUAAUAAAUUGUAAACAAAUAAAUAAUAUUUUGAUAAUAAAUAAUGUUUUGGUAAAAAAAAGAUGGUACUUCUUAUAAAUUUUAUUUGUUAAACAUAAUGCGGAACAAAUUUAGUUAGUAAAACAAAAUCAACCCUAAACCAAAUUAAUUUUUAAAACAAAAUCAAAACAAAAACAAAUUAUUUUUAUAAGUUUUAUAACAAAAUCGAAAUUAAACUAAAUUAAUUUUUAAAACAAAAUCAAAACAAAGUGAAAUUAAUUUUUAAAACAAAUUGAAAACAGAAUGAAAUUAAUUCUUAAAACAAAAUCAAAAUGAAAUUAAUUAAACUAGUCUCAACUUUACAAACUAAAAUGAAAUCAAAUAACUAAACUAUAAACAAAAACUAAAACAUAAAUAAAAUUAAAACAGAGUGCGUACUUGCGAACAAAUUCACGGUUUGGCGGGCCGGUCCCGAUUCGGGCCGUGCCGUGCCGAACCUUUAUGGUUUGGCGGGCCGUGCCGGUCCGCUUCACGGUCCCCAACCUCCAGACCCGUAUUCGGCACGUCGUCUUAAGCGGUCCGUGCGGGUUUUGAACCGGCCCGUGUUUAGACGGUUUCGGGCGGUUGAAAAGGCGGUUCGGGGCGUGCCGGUCUGUUCGGUCUGACCCGAAUGGCCACCUCUAAAUGUUACUGAUCAAGCUCAUGCAUAAAUCAUUACAGCAAAUUUCCUAGUCUUGUCUGAAGUAUAAUACUAUUAAUACACAGAUAUGAGAUUGUCAUAAUGGUGUUCCUGGUGCUCAUCAUCUGUAGAUUUUGUAGGUGACAAAUUGACACCCUUAAGGAAAUUUCACUAAAUUUCUAUGUGCUUGACAACAUUACAAUUAUAAAAAGGUCUAAUGUCUAAGGACUCUUAUAAAGUGUUACACAACUCCUCAAACUACGCGUUACUCUUUGCCCAUGGUGAAUGGAGUGGUGCUUUGGUCUUGGAACAAAAUAUCCACUAACAAAUGCUACCACUACUGAUAAAAUGAAACCAAGUGGGAAUUCAAUCCCCUAUCCUGCCCACAAAAACCAUGAUUCCUCUUCAUAGUCAUCACCCUCUUCGUGUGCAUAUAGUGUCAGCUCAUCUUUUGAACAUUGCACCCUGAUUCGCAUCCCACAUAAUCCCCUGUUGUUAGAAAAAUAUCGCGGAUCAUUUAUCCUGUCCAUUUGUCCACCCCGCGGGAUUUUACCACUUAGCUUCCUGUUACUUACAUCUAAUAGGGAUAGUUGCUCUAGCUCCGUAAAUGAUUGUGGAAUUGUGCCCGAGAUAUUGUUGUUAGAUAGGUCCAAGGUCUCUAAACUCUCUAGAUCCCCAAGAUUUUGUGGUAUAUGUCCCGAGAGUCUGUUAUUGGACACGUUGAGUAGUUUUAGUCUCUUCGGAUUUCCUAGUGAAGCUGGAAUAGCACUUGAAAGCUCAUUCUUCGACAAGUCAAUCAAUUAGUAGAUGUGUUGGUUAUGACUUGAUAGACCUUGUGUAGCCUUUUUCCAAUUCACCAUCAAGUCAUUGAUCUUGAUCGAAAAAGAGAACAUGCGACUAAAUGAUGUAAACUGUACCCUCAAUCCUGUUUACAACUAUGUCGUCAGUUCCCAUGCCAUUUGUAUACAUAAUCUCAUGGGGAAUCAUUUCUUUUAGAUUUCCGAACUCUGAAGGGAUACUUCCAGCAAGAUUGUUAUUUGAGAGAUCAAGAUUUUGGAGUUUACUUUGGUUGGAGAAUGAGUUGGGUGCUAGUGAGCCAUGUAGAGAAUUGUUACGCAGAACUUGAAGGUAUGUCAAUUCAAAAAUAAACUCUGGGAAAUUACCUGUAAUGUUGUUGUCAUGGAGAUCAAGAUAUCAAGACUCGUCAAAUUCAUUAGGUCCUUAAGCAAGAUAAUUAACUUUCUGGAAUCAAUACACUCCUGUUAGAAAGAAUCUUGAUAGAUAGAGUGGGAUUAGUUCGACUAAUGUUCUCUUCAAUACAUUUAUGUGCCCAAAUCAAUCCUCAGGAUUCAACCUUGUGCAGUGAGGCCUAGAGCUCUUUGGUCUCAACACUUAUGAUCUUUUGUCGCGAUCAGUGACCAUUAUUUUUUUACUUGACUCAUUUCCAAGAUUAAUGUGUUUGCAUAAGUGAGUAUGCAGUUGCUCUUCCAAGUUUGAUGCAGAGGUAGGUAAGAUAAUUUCCAAAAAUGAAAAAAAAUAAAAAAUAUCUAUGAGCUUAAGUUUUUGAUGAAAUUAAAAGAUGAAUCAAUUUUUUAAACUUUUGUGAUUUUUUUUAAAAUUUUACAUUAAAAAUAUAAUCAGAUUCUAAUAUACAAUAUUUGGAAUUAUGAUUAUAUAUAUAUAUAUAUAUAUAUAUAUAUAUAUAUCCUCUAGAUUUGAUAAGAUCUGCUCCAAUUGAUUUCCAACCCGAAUGACUUGUUUUUCAAUCUUUUCGGUCUUUGUUCCGUAGUAGCAAAUCAGAAAGAUUGAGAAAUAGAACCAUCUAAUUUGAUUUGUUCUCGAUAGCCAUGAGUUGAUCGGCUCCUAUUAUACUCGUAGUCUCUCGAGGAUAUUUAGAUUAGAACCAACUAUGUAGCAUCUACAUCGAGAAUAAAAAUAUUGUAUACGUCAUUAGUCCGAUCCUUUACAAGAACUACCCGUAAUAAAAGGCUUGCUAUUGAUCCUGUCACCUUAAUUGUUAUUUGAACAAGUCAAUGCAUUAUGUACUUUUAAAUAAUUAUGUUCAAUAAUAAAUAAUAUAAGAAGUAUGAUAUAUAAGUUCCUCCAUUAUCUUACGAAAAAAAUUAUAAAAAUUUAAAUCAACUCCGAUAAGUAAAACUUAAAUCAAUUCCGAUAAGUGUUUUCUAAGAAACCAUAGCAUUACUUUUUGUUGACAUAUAUAAUACCGGAAGUCAUGUAUGCUUUGCCACAGCAGCAAGUGCAUGCAAAGCGAAAUGUUGGUGAUCAAGCUCAUGCAUAAAUCGUUAUUGCAGAUUUCCUAGUUUAGUCUGAACUCUGAAGUUUAAUAUAUUAAUACACAGAUAUGAGAUUGUGAGAAUGGUGUUCAUGGUUGCUCAUCAUCUGUUGAUUUUGUAGGUGACAAAUUGAUGCCUUGAGGAGAUUUGCUACAUUUCUCAUUAUUUACCAUUAUAAUGUCAGUACCCAUGCCCAUCCAAAACACAAUGUUACCUUAAAUCAUUCCCUUUAGAUUUCCCAUCUCUCAAGGGAUACUUCAAUCAAAAUUGUUACUUGAGAGAUCAAGUAUUCGAAGGUCACUUUGGUUGCAGAAUGAGGUUGAUGCUAGUGAGCCAAUUAGAGAGUUGUUACGUAGACUCUAGAACUUGAAGUUCAGAUAAUUGGGAAAUAUAUUCUAGGAAGUUACCUGUAAUGUUGUUGUCAUGGAAAUCAAGAUAUUCUAGAUUUGUCAGAUUUAUUAGGCUCUUAGGCAGCUUGCCAGAAAACUUAUUUUCCCCUGGUGCAAGGAUACCUAUUAGAGUGGAAAAUGACACAGGAUGAGAGAUCUACAUAAUAAAGUAAGCCAAGAGGAUUAAAAACUGGAAACAGACUUUGCAAUGAGCCCAAAUUUAAAGAUUUAAAUAGGUGAGAAGGAAUUCAACCAGUAAGGUUGUUAUCUGACAGUAGUAAACUUCCAACAUUCAUCUCAGCAAGCCAUUGCGGGAGUCUUCCUGUGAGGUGAUUGUUACUCAGGUCCAGAAUAUCAAGAUACUUUAUUGUGGAAAUCCAUUCUGGAGUGUCUCAUUCAAUUUUGCAAGAUCUUAGAGACAUUUGAGGAAGCAUACACUUUGUAUUUAUUUUAACAUUGUUUUUCCAAAUCAUCUUAUUUUAACUCUCCAUCUCAAAUAGCCAGGAGGGUAUUUCUCCGGAAAGCAUAUUAUCUUCAAGCAUAAGUGUUUCUAACUUGCUCAUGUUUCGUAAAGAUCGUGGGAUUACACCUGAGAAACUGUUUUUGCUCAAUGCCAAAGUGGAAAUGUUUAACAAGCUUCCAAUCUCACUUGGAAUCUGCACUCGUAAAUUAUUAUCCCUCAAAUCCAACGGUCAGAAUUAUAACAAAAAUUUAAUACAUCCCGCGCUUUUUAACCGCUAGACGGGGUCAUUUUACCUCAUCCAGUGGUUAAAAAACGCCGAUCGGGUUACAUGAUGUAUAUAUAUAUAUAAAAAUUAUGUUAUAAUCUGGGCCGCUCGAUAUUCAUCCAACGGCCAGAAAAGUGAUGCUGGCUAAACCGUCCCCGGCAGUCGAGUGCCAGGGACCCGCGCCCAAUAUGUAAUGCCUGAGUUUGCACGGACUCUGUUAGAAGUCUAUAUGGUAAACUGAGUGCCUACUUGUAGUGGUGUUGUGUUCGAUUUUUCCCUUAUUUUCCUUUCCUUAUACUUUUAAGUCUCUAACUCUGAGCGAGUCAACUAAGAUUUGUCACGGUACUUAGAAGUGUAAAUGACGUUAACUAUUCAUGAGACAUUCAACGCUUUUCUGAUUUGAUCAUGACAAAGGAAGGCACGCGUGUUUUUAUCAGGCCUAGUGGUUUGGCCAUUGUUUUACUUCUGUUACUUGUUUUCGUAAAGUGCAGCGGGCUGGUGGAUGCUAAAUCAUAAGGAUGUAUGAACACAACUGAACAAUGUAAACUUUCCAAUGAAUUAAUCAUACACUACAACAAUUCUGGACAUUUACGACGGAUAUUUUACAACGGAAAAGGUGGAGCGCAAAACUUACUGACGGAAAACCAAAGAAUAAAUUUUUUAACUUGAAUGUGAUUCAGAUGAGUAACAUGAGCCGUACGUCUAUGUAAUACGAAAUUAAUGUUGCUUAAUCAGUUUUUCUCUCUGUUGAUCUUGGUUAUAGAUUAGUUGGUUACCGAAUUUUCAUUUAGUUGCAUGUUAGAAAUUUGAUUAGAGAAAUGUAAUACAUGUUAGAAAUUUUCAUUUAGUUUCAGGUACAAUUCCAUAAUCAUUUCAGAAACUAAAUUAAUUAUCAGUAUUAGAUGUGAGUAGCAACAACCUAAGUGGUAAAAUCCCGUGGGGCCGACCUUUCUAAAAACUCUACCUGAAUACAGCAUCUAUCAGUCUUGAAUCUACUCACUAUUAAGUGAAAACUAGGAUUAGGAGUACGUAACGCCGACUGUUAUGCAAAAUCUACUCCACUACAACACUAUAGUAUCAAUCCAAAUAUCUUAGACCCCAUUUAUAGCAUCACAUCUUUACCGCUUCUUAAUAUCUCUUCUAACUUUAUAGGAGGGGAAAUUUCAGGCAAAGGAUUGGCUAAUCUCACGAAACUAGUUCACCUUGACAUGAGUUCGAAUGAGUUUAACGGCACAAUUCCAGCACAAGUUUUCCAAUUGAGGAAUCUGCAAUUUCUUGAUUUAUCUUAUAAUUCACUGAAGGGUGGUUUAAGUAGUGAAGUUGGCAAGCUUGGAAAUUUGAGGACUCUAAAGUUGGAAGAGAAUCGGCUUGAUGGAUAUGUUCCUGUGCAGAUUGGAAAUCUGACAAAGUUGCAACACUUUUCUAUCAAUUACAACAAAUUUUCGGGGCGUAUUCCAGAUUCAAUAGGGUAUUUGAAGGGAUUGGAAAGAUUAUACAUGAGCGAAAACAGUUUCAGUGGUUUAAUACCUCCAUCAAUAAGUAACUUGAUCAGGUUGGAAACACUUCUCUUGGAAAAUAAUAGGCUUUCUGGAGAAAUCCCUUCAAGUUUAUUUGACAUAGAGAGUCUCAAGAUCUUAAAUCUUGGAGGAAACACAUUAACUUGGAAUAACAAUGUCAAAAUAGUUCCCAAGUGUAUGCUUUCUCAACUCUCUCUCAAAUCAUGCAAAUUUUCUGGAGACAUUCCGGAAUGGAUUUCCACUCAGAAAAAUCUUGAUAUUAUCGAUCUGAGCGACUGUAAUUUAACAGGAAUAUUUCCUAUUUGGCUUGCUGAAAUGGAAGUUAAAAGUAUACUUCUGUCGCGUAACAAGCUUACUGGUGCAAUACCAUCUCGCCUUUUUCAAUCUGCGAGUUUAUCCAUUCUGGCUCUUUCAAAAAACAAUUUUUCAGGAGAGUUGCCAAAAAAUAUAGGUGAUGCUAAUAACAUCAAGGUACUUAUGCUGUCUGCAAACAGUUUUUCCGGGGCCAUUCCAAAAUCCAUUGCUGAUAUCCCUCAACUAAUGCUAUUAGACUUGUCAUGAAACAAAUUGUCUGGCAACACAUUCCCAGUUUUUGAUCCUGCAGAUUGCUCACUCAUUUAUGUUGAUUUGUCCUCUAAUGAACUUUCAGGUGACAUUCCUGUGUCAUUUUGCGGAGGAACCAGUAUUCUUGCACUGGGGGGAAAUAAGUUUUCUGGUAUGUUGCCUAGGAAACUCACAAAUAUGAUAAUGCUUGAAUAUCUUGAUCUCCAUGACAACAACAUUACAGGUAAUUUGCCAGAAUUUCUUUCCCAGCUAUCCUACCUUCAAGUUCUUAGUCUACGUAACAAUUCUCUACAUGGCUCACUACCAACCAAGUUGUUCUCCAACCAAAGUAGCCUCAAAAUCCUUGAUCUCUCAAUCAACAAUCUUGUUGGAAAUGUCCCAUCGGAGUUGGAAAAUCUAUACAAGGUCUCUCAAGUCAUAACCAGCAGUUCUAUUCUUUGCUAGACUUGUCGAAGAAUAAGCUCUCCGGUAUUAUUCCAGCUUCAUUAGGAAAGCUCAAGUAUCUAAAGCUACUGAACAUCUCCAACAACAGGCUCUCUGGAUGUAUACCACAAAGUUUUGGGGAUCUUGAGAGUAUAGAAACAUUGGACCUAUCCAACAACAAUAUUUCUGGUACAAUUCCAAAGUCAUUUAUGAAGUUAGAUGAACUCUCUGUGUUAGAUGUGAGCAACAACAAGCUAAGUGGUGAAAUCCCGCGGGGUGGACAAAUGGACACGAUGAAUGAUCCGAGUUAUUUUGCUAACAACAGUGGGUUAUGUGGCAUGCAGAUCAGGGUGAAAUGUUCAAAAGACGAGCCACCACCAGAUGAUGGACAAGAAGAGGAUGACCUUGAUGAAAAAGAGGAAUGGUUCUUGUGGACAGGAGUGUGGAUUGGAUUCCCACUGGGCUUGAUUUCAUCAGUAUUAACAGCAUUUCUUGGUGGGUAUUUUGUUAUACCGAUAACAAAGUACCACUCGAUUCACUAUAGGCAAAGAUGAAUGCAGUGUGUCAUCUAGCACUGGAAGCCCUUGGAUUACAUUGCUCAGGUUGUUAUCUUUGUUCCAAAAUAAAAACAUUGUGGGUUGUAAUUAUAUUAUUGUAGUUUUCCGAUUAUAUUUUCAAUGUAGCUAAAAUAUUUUAUAAAAAAACAAAAACAAGUAACAUCAUUCUUGUCUCAUCUCAUUUGUGAUUUUUGUUGUUUCAAAUUAGAACAAUGCAUUCAAAGAAAAUAUUAAUAAUUAUGUAAAAUAUAGAAAUUAAAUAUUAUUUCUUUCAUUAAAAUAGAUUGAUAUUAUUUAUUAAGAACAUAAUGAACUUGGUUAUUAUAAAUAAUUUCAACAAUCUAAGAAUCAUGGCUAAAGUUCCGCACUUUAAAAGAAUUGUAUAGUAUGAUUCUCUAUCUUAAUAUUUAUUUAGCAUUCAAUAGAUUACGCAAAAAAAUUAUCUAAAUUAAACCAAUAUAAGACAAUGAAUAUAUGCCUAUAUGAUAAUAUUAAUUCUAGCACAUUAUUAUAAAGUGUCAUUAAUCUAAAAAGGGUCAAAAAAAUUUACUAAAUCUCUAUCAACAUUAUCAAACUCACAAAUUCCAAUGUACAACUAUACAAUUAGCAUCAACACUAUUGAUGUUCUUAAUAUUAGAAAUUAUCAAAUUGGGAUUUUGGGUUUGAUAAUUCAUGAAGAGUGUCUGUGUAGUGUAGUUUAUCAUCUUUUUUUUAGAGGACAAAGAGUGCUUGGAUUAUUCAUCUUCACAAGCCUGAUCGAUAUAUAUAAGUAGCGGAGAUAGUGAAUUGGCUUAUAUAUCCUUCUUUCACUGGGUCCAAAUGUUCUCUUUAUUAGCAAUUCAAGGUUGGCAUGUUUGAUGCAAUGAAAGAUGUUAUAUGGGUGUUUGUGUGAAAGUAGAUAAGUGAGCAAAUAUAGUAAAAAUGUAAGAUGUAAUAUAGGUGUGGAAAACAUGUCCUUUUAUCGAUCAGUUUUAAACAGAUCAGUAUUAGAAUUGAUGUAGAAAACAAUAUUCUUAGAAUUGCCAAUGGAGCAUAUUGCUGAAGAAUAUAUAUGUAUGGUAUCAUUGAUUAAAUGAAUUAAAUUUAAUAACCACAAUAAUAAUUAUACAACAUCAAACCUCAAACUAAAAUAACCAAAAAAAAAAACUGAAAUCAAUUGCAUUGUAAUCUUGCAUCUAGAAUAUUAAAAUGUUAUAACAUAGAUAUAAUUUGCAACAAGGUGAAAUUCUUAUUUUUAUAGAAAAUGGAAACAUAACAAUGAUAAAGAUAUUAAUUUCAAUCCAUACUUUGAAGAUAUAUAGAUCUCUCUCCAAAGACAACAAAAUAUGAGAACGACUGAAUAGAUGGAAACAUAGUCAAUUUAGAAUCUUGAAUCUAUAGCACUCAAACAAAAGGUGCCUCAAUGAACAAAGAAUUUCUAUAAAUUACUACAUCUAGAACCACAUAACUUACGGUGGUCAUUGUCCGCACUGUCCCAUAAUUUAUGUCGCCGUUCCAUCUGCGCACCAUGGCGUUGAAAAGGGUAGGUAAUGAGAUAGGGGAAAAACAAGCCCCUGAAAUAAAAAUCAAGUGAAGAAGUUCUUCGGAUCUUAAAAGUCUAUUCGGAACUUCCGAAUACAGAUUGAUAAGAUCUACCAGCGCGACCCUGCCAAAUCCACGAAGAACAUUAACACAAACACGAUUCAACAUAGAAAAGCAAAUUAUCCAGUUUAUUAAUUCCACUGCGGGUGGAACAUUUAGUGACACCACAAUCGGGACAGAUUGCCCUCUAUUGGGUCUAUUUCUCGACCCACGACAAUGUCCAUGACGCCGGGCUGAAGAAACUCCUCCGCCGUUACCCAUCGCAACAUUAACAUUUGACAUAUUAGAUGAACGCGAAUGAAGUUGGAAAGUAAUUUGGCAGCGGCGGAUCAAAAGAACAAUGCACAUAUAUAGACAGAGAUUUAGGGCAGGGUGUUUUUACGGCGCCUUGAGCCUAAGAUUUUAAAAUUUUAAUUAUUUAUUAUGUAUUCAUUUUUAGUUUAAUUUUUUAAUUGCCCUAUUUUGUGGAAAAGUGAAAGAAAAAUAAAAUUUGUUUAACUUAUUGAGUCAUGUCUAAAAAAUAAUAUUUACAUACUUGUAAAACUAUUUAAUAUAAAAUGUGUGUAAAUUGCUAGAAGAUAUGUAAAUAUGAUAUGUAUUAUUGUACUCAUAAAUGUAUUAUCUAACAAUUUACACAUUUUAUUUAAAAUAAUUUUUUAAAUAUGUUAAAAUUUUAUUCUUAAGCAUAACUUUAUGAGUUAAACAAAUUUUAUUUUUCUUUCAUAUUCCCAUUAAAUAGAGCAAUUAAACUAUUCGGUUUGGCUAGUGUGUGCCCAUGGGCACAUGCUAAGCGCGGAAAUUUUUGUAUUUGGGAGAUUUUGAUUGGUGUGGUUGGUGUAUUUGCAGGGGGGUCCACCAUUAUCAUGAGAUAGGAGCCAAUCAAAAUGAUCCAAGUACAAAAUUUUCCGCGCUUAGGAUGUGCCCAUGGGCACAUCAUAGAAAAAUCGUAAACUAUUAAAUUAAAAUUGAAUAUAUAAUAAAUAAUUAAAAUUUUAAAAUCUGAGGCUCAAGACAUCAUGAAAACACCCUCCCUUGUAUCUAUGUUUAUAUCUGUCCAUUUUUCUUUUAUUCUGUUGCUGCCAAAUUACUUUCCAACUUCAUUCGCAUCCAUCAAAUAUGUCAAAUACUAAUAUUGUAGUGGGUUCAGAGGACUUUCUCAUUCCAAGCGUCGUGGACAUUCUCGUGGGUUAAGAAAUAUACCCGAUAGAAGCAAUUUGUCCCGACAUUGAUGUCACUCAAUGUUCCACCCGAAGUGGAGUUAAUAAACUAGUUAAUUGGCUUCUCCAUGUUGAACAAUGUUUGUGUCGAUGUUCUUCAAGGAUUUGGCAAGUUUGCACAAGUGGAUCUUAUCUAUUUGUAUUCGGAAGGUCCGAAUAGACUUUUAAGAUCUGAAAAAUUUCUCGAUUGAUUUUUAUUUCAAAGACUUGUUUUUCCCUAUCUCAUUACCUAGCAUUUUCAACACCAUGGUGCGCAAAUGAAACGGCGACAUAUAUUAUGGAACUGUGCGGACAAUGACAAUUGUAAGUUAUGUGGUUCUAGAUGUAGUAAUUUAUAGAAAUUCUUUAUUCAUUGAGACACCUUUUCUUUGAGUAUUAUAAAUUCAAGAUGCUAAAUUAACUAUGUUUCCAUUUAUUCAAGCCUUCCUUGUGAUUUUGUUGUCUUUUGAGAGAUUUAUAUCUCUUUAAGUAUAGACUGAAAUGAAUAUCUUUAUUAUUGUUAUGUUUUCAUUUUCAAUAAAAAUAAGAAUUUCAGCUUGUUUGCAAAUUAUAUCUACGAAAUAAAAUUUUAAUAUUCUAGAUGCAAAAUUACAAUUUAAUUGAAUUAAGUUCAUUUUUUUGCUUAUUUUAGUUUGGGUCAAUGUUGUAUAAUUAUUUUGUUGCAAACAAUGAUACCAAACAUAUUCUUCUGGCUACUCCAUUGAGAAUUACAAUAAUAUUGUUUUCCUCAUCAACUAAAAUACUGGGUGUCAACUGCAAUACGAUCAGUUUAAAACUUUACUGUAUAUAUGCUCAUUGUAUCUACUUUCACAAAGGCACCAAUAUAAUAUAUUUCAUUGCAUCAAACAUGCUAACCUUGAAUUGCUAAUAAAGAGAGCAUCAUGACCAUUUAGACCUAGCGAAAAAAGGAUAUAUUAGCCAACUCGAUCAAUUAUCUUCUCCUACUUGUAUAUAUCAAGCAGGCUUGUCAAGAUGAAUAAUCUGGACACUCUUUCUCUUCUAUAAAAUGAAUUACAAAACCCCAAUUCCUAAUAUUAAUAACACAAGUUCUCUGGCUUUGAUAAUGUAUAUAGAGAUUUAGUAAAGAAUUGUAACCCUUUCUAAGAUUAAUAGACCAAUGACACACAUCUUAUAAUAAUGUGCUAGAAUUAAUAUUAUCAUAUAUUCAUCAUCUUUUAUGAUAAUUGUUGAAUUUAUAUUUUAAGUAAUCAAAUGAAUGCUAAAUAAACUUUAAGACAAGAAUCAAAUUCUACAAUUCUUUUAAAGUGCCGAACCUUAGCCAAGCUCCAACGUUCUUGAUUGUUUAUAAUAACCAAGUUCAUUAUUUUCUUACUAAAUAAUAUCAAUCUAUUUUAAUAAGAGAAAUAAUAUUUAAUUUCUAUAUUUUACAUAAUUAUUAAUGUUUUUUUUGAAUACAUUGUGCUAAUUUGAAAUAACAAAAAUCACAAAUGACAUGAUACAAAAAUAAUAUUCCUUGUUUUUAAUUCUUUGAAAUAUUUUAACUACAUUGAAAAUAGAAUCAAGAAAUUACUAUUAUAUUUGAAUAAACCCUUUGAUUAUUCAGAAAUAAAGUUUUUAUUCUCUAAAUGCAAGAUUGCAAUAGAAAUUAAAUUAAGUUUUUUUUACUUAUUUUAGUUUGGGAUUCAAUACUUUGUGAUUUUGUGGUUACAGAGAAUGGUUGCUAGCCUAAUGACGCACGUAGUGACAAACAAGAUAUAUCUUUUUUUACAUUAAAUAUUGUUUAUAUUUGUUAAUAAUUACUUAUAUAACUUGACCUUUGACAAACUAGAUAUAUCUUUUGUUUACAUAUAGUAUUGUAUAUAUUUGAUAAUAAUUAUAUGACUUGGCCAUUUAUCAAACCUAGAUAUUUUAGUUAAAAAAAAAAUUCUAGCCCAACUAAAAGUCUGAUAGCCAGUUCUAGACUUCUAGUAUCCAGAUUCAUUCUACUUGAACUUUAAUCACCUAAAGCAUGCAUGCAGAUGGUAUAACAUAUAUAUUACUUUAUUUAUGAGAUCACGGAAAAACAAACAAACAAACCACAUAUUCCCAUUUUUGUUUAUUCCAAACCAAUUGGGUACCAAAUAAUAACUCUGCUUAUGCAUGUACUAAUAGGAGUGAAGUUGAUUUUCAUUAGGACAGAAACAAAUCAUGAUGCAAUUAGUAUAAACACACAAUGAUUUAACUCUGAAUUAACAAACUAAGGAAAACAAACAAGAUAAAUGAAGGAGCAAAAACAUGUUACAAUAGUAGCAUGUUACGAUAGUAUUGUACUUACGUAAUAGAAGAGGAACAGUGUCACGAGCUUCCAAGUCACAACCUUACGAUAGCUUUCUUUCCAUGCAAUAACAAAUACAAUGUGUACUUUUAUAUUAACACUAUGGUGUUGAUAGCAUGUUAGAACAAAUAUACUAUACUAGUUCAGAUAGCAUAUAAGAGUAGUGAAGUUGCAAUAUUUUUCUCUUGUGUGUUAUACAAGCUCAAUCUUCAUCCCUAUUUAUGUGUAUACAAGAUGUAGGUUACAUAAACUUGACGAGCCAAAAGUCAUGGACUUGUAACUUGUAAGGACAUGGACUUAAGUUACAUGUAGUUGAAAGAUCAAAGGGUAGAGCUUUGAACAUUCUAGAGUCAUCCCCUUGUAUACAUAAUAAUAAGUAGAUUAUAACCAUACUAAUCUGUUGGACUUAAGUUACAUGUCGUAUGAUUUCACAUAUGGCUUAUGUCUACAUAGUACCUUAGUACCAAUACUGAUUUUCAACUAACUGAGCUCCUUCCUUGUCAAGUCAAGUCCAUGUUUUCACUACUAUAUUUAUAAGCACCUUAGUUCAUAGGACAUGACAAUUAAAUAUAGUUCCCUCUAUGCUGUACAAUAAAACAUGUUCUAAAGCAAAUAAACCACUCAGUUAUAGAGAGGAGAUUAAAAUAAUUUUAUUUUUAUAAAUAUUUGUGUGAUCCAAAUGUGCAGACACUAAAUUCUUUAGAAAGUUUUUUAUGGGGUUUGAGCAUGAACUAAUUUGGGAAAAAACAUAUACUGGCUGCCAAUAUUUUAUAAACAACAAUAUGAUGACAAGGAAUAUAUGAAAUACAAUUACUCUAAUUUAUUCCAGAACAAAGACGAACACAUUUGGGAUUUAUCUAUACACAUUACUUGUGUUCUUGAUGAUUCUUGAACAUGCACUUUAUUUAGGACAAAGAGUAUACAAGUUAUCAGUUUUAUUAAUAAAUUCUGAACAUAUUACUCACUUAUGGGACAACAGUUGCUAAAUAUAAUAAUUGUAUGUAUAGAUAGUAUAUGAAAUCUGUUACCUUAGGCCUGAAGGUCGAGUGAUGGCAGCACAGUUAUCAUCCAACAGAUUAGUACAUAGGCUUAACAUCCCUGUGAAUAAAAAGUGUUAUUAGCUUUAGUAAUGUGCAGAUAAGGCAUCCAUCUUGCUGCACCAAUAAAAAUAUGAAGUAAUAUUAAAUUUUGUACAAAAUGCCCCCUUGCAGUUCCAACACAAUAUACAUUGAUCAAAUAAGCCAGGACCAUUUCAUUAUCCCCUUCGCGCAGUAAACCAAUUAGUGACACGAAAUGUCUGUGCCUAGAAAUCAUUAGGAUAAAAAAUUUAAGGAUCAACAAAGAAACUAAGAAUCAUUAGCUUCAAACUAAAAACCACCCAGGUUCAGUCAUUCCAUCACAGCAUUACAAACAAUUCUCUAUUCAACACCAAUCAUUGGGUAACACUCAAUUUUACCAAAUAAUUUCCAGAAACAAUACAUUACCUACCAACCUAAUCAAACAAUCACAUUAAUAUAUAUCUAAAGAAUAUAACCACUUACAAUACUACCAAAAAAAAUGAAAAUGAAGAGCACGACAAUACAGUAUUACAUGGGUUCUGUAUGUUGAUUCGAUCACAUUAAAUAGGCUUAAUGACCUUUUAACCCUCGAAGUAUGGGGUGAUGUACCGAUGCGGCCUCAAAGUUUGAAAGCGUACCUUUCGACCCUCAAUGUUUGUACGUCGUACCUUUUAACCCUUUUCGAUUAUACCGGUAUAAAUCGGAGGGGUAAAGUAGAGAAUUCCUAAUUUGGGUUAAGUUUCAGCGUACCAUUUAAACCCUAAAGAAUACAAAACCACUAAACACUAAAGUGAGCUCGAGCUGCUGGCGAUUAGAAGAGACAAGGUGCGAUUUGGUGUGGAUCGAAGUUGUAGAUCGUGAUGGCUAGCAUUAGCAACAGCUCCUCUGGUAAUUUCUUAACCCUAUUUUGAACUUGAAUAAUCUGAUUACCCCCCUGUAGAUGCAUCAAUAUCACAUAGCUUUUGUUUUUUCUUUAUGAUUAUCUUGCAAUGUUUAUCUCGUGGUUUUGUGAUUACAAGGUGAUGAUUGUAUAUCGUUGAGUCUGUUCCAUGGGGGGUGUUUAAAUUNAAACAAAGAGAAUGAAACUGAAACUGCAAAGUUACAAUGUAAAUAUUGCAGUAAAAAUGAAACAACAAUGUGAAAAAAUUAUAAAGGCCGAGCCACAAAACCUCUAAUAACCAUUUUCUCUACCAAUUCUUCAUGUUUCUUUAUCUGUCCUGCUUUUCUCAGCUGCUGCAAAACCAUUUCAUACACUGCCUCACUAGGCUUCAAGCAUUUUUCUUCCAUCAUUUCUCUGAAAAACUUGUAAGCAUUAUUCCAGUGUCCCAUCCCACAAUAUAGGGAUAUCAGAAUCCUGUAAGUAUUCACAUUAGGCUCAAUCUCACCCUCGUCCAUCUCUUCUUUAAGCUUGAUAACCAUGUCAGCAGACUUAGAAUGACGGCUCAUGGCAUAGUUGACAGGUUUGCUUGCUUUAUUUACGAAUAUACAAGCUCAAGUAACUCAAAUAUCCAAAAACAAUUGUGGCAACUUCAGUAAUGACCCCAAAAAUUUGCUGGUGUAUAAACUUAAGCUCAUUAAGACAACAAAGAGAAUGAAACUGAAACUGCAAAGUUACAAUGUAAAUAUUGCAGUAAAAAUGAAACAACAAUGUGAAAAAAUUAUAAAGGCCGAGCCACAAAACCUCUAAUAACCAUUUUCUCUACCAAUUCUUCAUGUUUCUUUAUCUGUCCUGCUUUUCUCAGCUGCUGCAAAACCAUUUCAUACACUGCCUCACUAGGCUUCAAGCAUUUUUCUUCCAUCAUUUCUCUGAAAAACUUGUAAGCAUUAUUCCAGUGUCCCAUCCCACAAUAUAGGGAUAUCAGAAUCCUGUAAGUAUUCACAUUAGGCUCAAUCUCACCCUCGUCCAUCUCUUCUUUAAGCUUGAUAACCAUGUCAGCAGACUUAGAAUCAGCAAACAUCCUCAUCAGUAUAUUGUAUGUCACUGUAUUAGGCUUACACUUUAUCUCUUUCAUCCUCGCAAACAACCUGUGAGCAGAAUUAACAUCCCCUGCUUUCAAAAUACACCUAAAUAUCGGGUUAAAUGUAGAAGCAUUUGCCUCACACCCUUUUCUGACCAUUGUAUUGAUAACCUUAACAGCCUCAUCCCGAUUCUCAUCCCUACAAUGACUCUCUAUAAGAAAAUUAUAAGUAACAGUAUCGGCAGCACAAGAUAGCUUCCUCAUCUGAUUAUACACCUGCAAAACCUUCUCUGUCCGUCCAGCCUUGACAUGCACCCGCAUCAAAUUAUUAAAUGUAAUAGAAUUCGGCUGACAUCCCACAUCAAUCAUCUCCGCAAACACAUCAUGAGCUCGCGUAAUCUGCCCACACCGACACAACGCAUCAAUAACAAUACUAUAAGUAUAAACAUUCGGCUGAAUCCCAACCUCCUUCAUCUCACUAAACACCCUUUCCGCCUCUGAAAUAUUCCCCGCCCUGCACCACCCAUUAACCAAACUAGUAUACACCACAACAUCCGCCUCAAACUUCCCCUUCAACCCAUCAAAAAACUCUUGAGCCUCAACCGCCCUCCUCUUCUUACAAAGAAACGAAACAACAUUAGUAAACGCAAUCUUAUCCGCCACACACCCAUACUCCCCCAUUCUAUUAAACGCAAGAAUCGCCUCACUAGCCAACCCCGCCCUCACAUACCGCCUAAUCAAAACCGAAAACGUCGAAUUCGACACCUCAAUUCCAUUCUCCUUCAUAUCAUCAAUCAAACCCCACGCCACAUCAAAUGCGCGCACCUUUCCACAAAGGUCAAUCAUAUCAUUAUAAGCAUCACUACACUAAUUUAUCAGCCCAAUUAAAGAACGCGAGAGUCUGGCUAAAGGGGAUACCGUGGCGGGGGGACCCGCAUUUGUGGAUGACAUGGCGAAUGACGUUGGGAGAGAGAGAGAUGGGAGAGAUUUGGGAGAGAUCGAAGGAGAGAGUGGGGAGAGAGAGAUUGGAGCGUCAAUCAUCUCCGCAAACACAUCAUGAGCUCGCGUAAUCUGCCCACACCGACACAACGCAUCAAUAACAAUACUAUAAGUAUAAACAUUCGGCUGAAUCCCAACCUCCUUCAUCUCACUAAACACCCUUUCCGCCUCUGAAAUAUUCCCCGCCCUGCACCACCCAUUAACCAAACUAGUAUACACCACAACAUCCGCCUCAAACUUCCCCUUCAACCCAUCAAAAAACUCUUGAGCCUCAACCGCCCUCCUCUUCUUACAAAGAAACGAAACAACAUUAGUAAACGCAAUCUUAUCCGCCACACACCCAUACUCCCCCAUUCUAUUAAACGCAAGAAUCGCCUCACUAGCCAACCCCGCCCUCACAUACCGCCUAAUCAAAACCGAAAACGUCGAAUUCGACACCUCAAUUCCAUUCUCCUUCAUAUCAUCAAUCAAACCCCACGCCACAUCAAAUGCGCGCACCUUUCCACAAAGGUCAAUCAUAUCAUUAUAAGCAUCACUACACUAAUUUAUCAGCCCAAUUAAAGAACGCGAGAGUCUGGCUAAAGGGGAUACCGUGGCGGGGGGACCCGCAUUUGUGGAUGACAUGGCGAAUGACGUUGGGAGAGAGAGAGAUGGGAGAGAUUUGGGAGAGAUCGAAGGAGAGAGUGGGGAGAGAGAGAUUGGAGGUGGGGUUGGGGUUGUUGCGGUGGUGGGUUUUGAUUAGGGAGUGGAGUUGGUCUGAAAUUAGGGUUUCGGAUGGGGAGAGAUGGAGGAUGGGUUUGAUUAAUUCGGGUUCUUCGAGAGUUUGUAGGGCUGGAGAGGUGAGUGUGGAGAGAGGAGAGAUGAGGUGGGAGGGGAGACGUAGGCAUUGCUUUGACUUGAUUAUCAUGGCCGCCAUGGUAGUAGGGGGAGGAAGCUAGCAACCAAAAUGGAUACCAAAAAUAGUGUUCGGAUUGGAGCAAGGUUUAUGGUAUAAAACUUUUGUAAUAUUUUGUUUUCAAAAAACUUUUGUAAUAUUUUUUUUUGUUACGAGGAACAUAAUUAUGAAUAUAAGUAAGUACUUUUUGGAUAUUGAGACAAUAUAAUAUUUAAUAUAACUAAAAAGAUCUCGUUAAGAUUUUGUAAGAGUAAAAUUCUAUGAAAAAAAAAUUUAAGAAUAAAAAAAGAAUAUCUAGAAAAAAUAAAUACAUCGUUUAUAAAUAGUCUAAAGAUAAAAAGGGGAAAAUGACCGGUUUGGUUCGUGAACAGAUACCGGUUUUGAAAUGAAGAAUCAGUUUAGCAAAAAAUUCAAGAAUAAAAAAGAAUCUAGAAUACAUCAUUCAUAAAUAGUCUAAAGAUAAAAGGAGGAAAAUGGCAUGUUUGGUUCGUGAACUGAUACCGGUUUUGAAAUAAAGAAUCAGUUCACCAUCUUAUUAGGUUAAGGAGUGUAUUAUAUUGAGAAUUUAAAAGAUUUUUAUUCAUUUAUGAAAUCGGAGAGUAUUCAACUCGGAUUUCAUAAAAUGUAUCAUAAUUGUGGGAUAUUCCCUUAAGAUUUAAAUUACACAUAAAAAUUGGUGGUAUUCAAUUAGAAUUUCAAAUUAUAUUUUAAAAUUUGAUGGCAUUCAAUUAAUAUUAUUUAAAAUCCACUAAAAUUUGAUUCAAAUGUUAAUGUAUUUUUUCGGAAUUUCCAAAAUGAUGGAUUUUGUAAGAUUGUUCAUUGUAUUUUAAGCACUAUGCUUAAAUCAUAAAGAUUCUCAUCAACUCUGCAAUAUUUUAUCUAUAAUCCGCAUGUCAGGUUUUUCUUGUGCAUAAAUAUACAGGUUUCCAUGUCAGGUUUUGAUGAUAGAUUGGUAAAUGGAGGAAGCAUAUUGGAAUUGAUUGGUAAAGAGAGGAGGAAUGGAAAGAGUCCCGAAGAAGUUGAAAAGAUUUAUACUCGAGGCAUUUGAAGUUGCUAGUAUGCUCAAGGCAUUUGAAGUUGCUAGUUUCUCAUCUUUUUGCUAUUACUGUUCAUGUUUGGUUGGAUUUGUUAAGUACUUUGACUUGUAUGAAAGAAUAGUUUAUUGGGAUGUUUAAUAUCUAAAAAGUAUAUUUUCAAUUUCUUUCCGUUUAUAAUGUUGUCUUUCAUGAAUUAAAUGUGGCUCCACAGUACUAGUAGGUGGGGUCCACACGUGGGUCCCACUUUUUUUUGAAAUCAGAAACUCUAACGUGACAUAAAAUUUUAGUUGCAAUAGGGUAGUUAGAUGUUGCAGUAGCAUGGUUGUUGUAACAUAAAAACCCUUGUUGCAGUAGGUGACUAUAAUGUUGCAGUAGAGGCCUAGGGCAACAUGAAAAAAUGCAACUUAAAUAUUAUGUUGCAAUAGCCCUUUUUCGGGCUAUGGCAACAUAUUUUGGGGUUUUGGCAUCAUUUUUUGUAUGUUGUUGUAGGCCAUAUAUGGCGUAGUGAAUCCAUUAAAAUAUUUUACUAUAUAAAAUUUAUUAAAAUGCCGGUUGAAUACACGCCUUAAAUAUUAUUUAUGUGUUUGAUGGUGUUGUAAUGACUUUAUUUAAUUUUAAACAUUAUUAUGUUAUUAAUUAUUUUAUCUUAUUUUAUUAUAUAGAAGUUUAUAAAUAUUUUUUAUUAUUAACAUUUAUUUGUAUAUAUAUAUAAAUAUUCGUACCAUUUUUUCAUACUAUUUUUUUAUGAGCAUUUAUAUUUGAGCAAAAAUACAUAUAUAUGAGUUGAGAUCUUUGAAGACUAAAUAUUUUGGAGACUUUGAAGACCACAUCCAACACUAUUGGAUCAAAACAUAAAUAGACGGUUGAUUAGAAAUACAGAUGGAUAAGUGUUUUCAUUUUUAAAAAUGUAAAAUAACUACCUGCAGUAUGUGAUAAACAUUAAACAAGGACCGUAUUUUGAAUCUUAUACUACUACAUAUCAAUAUCCCACUUUCUACUCCAAUCUGAAGAAAUUAAUUGUUCUUCAAUUUCUCCCCUUAAUCAAAUCAAAGGGAUUGCGGGAUAAAUUCAGUAUCAAAAAACAAGUGCAGAAUAGUGAUAAUGGGCAUUCGUGCUUUGUCCCCUAGAUCAUUGUUGUAUGUCAACAAAAAGAUAAACAGCUUUACAACGACAAACUAAUUGCUUCUCAUGUACCACCAUAUGCAAAACUUUCACUAACUACAAGUCAAAAAUAUGCAAAACAAAACAAGACGUGCAGAACAAUUGAACCAAACAUGCAGAUGGACAAUAUGAGAAACAGGGGAACAAAAUAUGAGGAACAGGAGAACAAUUAGCGGUUAUGGAUAAUGGUAUAUGUUUACUAUACAGAAGGAUUAAGCUAUACAGAAAGAAAGGUGUAGUUAUGUAGAUAUUAUUUUAAUUAUAAAUUAUAAAUUAUAAAUUAAGUUUAUAACAGUCGUUGGAUUAUAACUGAAUUAAUGAUCUGGAUGCUGGUCUCCAAGUCUCCAAAGUUAUGUGGUCUCCACGGAACCUAAGCCUAUAUAUAUAAAGUGUUUUUUCAUAAACAUUAAAUGAUAUUGUUAUAAAUUUAGAAACUUCAAUUUUCAACGUGUUUGCCGACGAGAACACAAUUUGUUAGUACACCUGAUGUGGUGAAUGGGGAUGCAUGCCUCACCAUUCUUAUGUCUGACUGUAUAUAUGGUUACUUGUUAGGCUUCAUGUGAGAAACUACAUAUUUGCUUCUCAAAAGAUGUGACAUGACAUGAGGCUGGCGGUUCCAUCUGGUAUGUUCAUUCCUUCAGUUUUCUGGGAUUCAUCUGCUUGCGUAAUUUCUUCUACUUUGCCUAAUUCAUUUAACGUAUAGCUCCCAGAGGCAUGUUUUUUUUUUUUUUUUUACAGAACCCAGAGGCAUGUUAAAUCAGUUAAACAUGCAUGAAAUAGUAAUUUACUUGUAAUGUGAUACAUCAUACAGCCAAAUUUGACAUCCUAACUGUUAGUUAAACCUAAUUUAUUAAGUGCAUGUUUGGUCACAGGCACUUCUAGCUUUCUGUGAUAAAAAGUCGGUAUCUACUUUUUUUCACCCGUGUGUAAAAAAACAUAAGCAUUUAUAAGGAGUUGAGAAUUCUUUUGUUCCAAACAGUUUAAUCACUUAUAAGUCUUAAUUUAAUUCUCAAUUCUAGUCCACUUUUUUACUUUAAGCAAGAAUCACUUUUUUUAACCAUCCUAUAAAUACUUGCAUGGUCUAUCUCUAACAUCAUCCUCAACAUCUUUACAUAUAUGGUAAGAAUAAUGGCAAAGGUUGCAUACUUAGCAGUGGUAUUGGUUGUGGUGGUGGCUCGUAUGCUGGUGGAGCCGGGUGAAGCUCUAACAUGUGGUGCACCCGAGGAACAGAGAACAGGAGCUGUCUGCAAUGUUUAUACCAGAGGUGAUCAACCAGAGCCAUCUGGUGAGUGCUGCAAUGCGUAUAGAGCACUACGUGCAACAGCCAAGACACGAGCAGAAAGGAGGCAAUUGUGUUCUUGCGUCCAGGAAGCAACUUCACAAAGCAGAUAUAAUCGUGGUGCUACUGCUAAUCCUGCUGCUCGUAUUCCAAGAUUUGAUUCUCUAUCAGAAAAAUGUGGACUUCCUUCUCUGUUCUCUGCUGAUCCUGAAUUCGAUUGCAAAACGUAAGUGUCUCUGAUCUGAUCUUUAAAAGCUAGCCACAAUAAUACAGUAGUCGAUAUGCUCUCAUGGAUUUUAAUUUUGCUUUCUUAUGCAGAGUAAAUUGAUGUCACUUCCUUUCAUGAAAGCAGUUGGAGGACAAACAAUAAUGCUAUAACUACUUGUAUUUCUGCGCUAUUAAUAAAUAAGAGAUCAUUAUAUGUACGCGGGUGUUACAACACAAAGAAAGAGUACUCAACCAAACUAUUCAAAUAGCUACAUGAAUAAAAUAUAUAUACACACAUUGCUACAUUUCUCUGUGCUCGACAGUAUUACUAUCAUAAACUCUAACUAAAUAACUGUGAACUAAUGCUGUGUAUAUAUACAAUGUGGAAGAUUCUGUUAUUCUUAGCUGAAGCCUAAUUAACUCUGCAAAGCUGUCACACGAGAUGGAGCUAAUUGAGCUCUAGUGUCUUCUAGAGCCUUGGUAUAGUUUGCAGAUUCAUAUAUUGAAUCAACGAGAUGGAAUUUCUCCAAGCCCUUAUAUAUAAUCAAUUUAUAUGAUUAAAAUUCAUAAUUUGUAGUAUUUAGACCCCCAAAACUCAUAAUUUCGUAGUGUUUUGUCUUUAAAAUUUUUUUAGUAAAAUUUCGCCCCCCGGAAAAUAUUUUUGGUUCCGUCCCUGUUUGUGUGUCAACACUUUUGAUGAUCAUUUGUUGCGAUCAGUGACCAUUAUUUCUUUUACUUGGUUCAUUUUCUAGAUUGUCAGCAGGCAUGGCGAUUCGCCAACAAACUUGAGACAAGAUUAAUGUGUUUGCGGUUUGCAUAAGGUUAUAUAGCUUAAGUUCUUAAUUGAACAAAAUUUAACUUAAUAUGCAAUGCAGAGGUAAGAUAAUUUCCAAAAUGACAAUCAUAUUUUUAUCCGUGAGCUUAAAUUUUUGAUGAAAUUAAAAGAUCAUUCAAUUUUGUAAACUUUCCCGAAAAAUUUUAAAAUUAUACAUUAAAAAUAUAAUCAAACAUCAAUAUACACCUUUUGGAAUUUUCAUAAAAUCCACAUCUCCUAAAUCUCAUAAUAUACCCUCAAUUAAUCUGAUAAGAUCCACACGUAUUGAUCUCCAGCUAUCCAAUCGCAUUGAUUUCCAUCCGGCAGGUGUAUUAUGUACUUUUGGAUAAUUAUGUUUAAAUAUAGAUAAUAUAAAAAGUAUGAUAUAUAAUUUCCUCCAUUAUCUUAAGGAAAAAAAAUAUAAAAAAUUAAAUGUUUUUUUUUGAGAAAUCAUAUCAUUACUUUUUACUGAAAUAAAAUAUUGUAAGUCAUGUAUGCUUUGCCAAAGCAGCAAAGGCAUGCAAAGCGAAAUGUUACUGAUCAAGCUCAUGCAUAAAUCCUUACUGCAAAUUUCCUAGUCUUGUCUGAAGUAUAAUAUAUUAAUACACAGAUAUGGGACUGCGAGAAUGGUGUUCAUGGCAUUGCUCGUCAUCUAUAGAUUUUGUAGGUGACAAAUUGACACCCUUAAGGAGAUUUGCUACAUUUCUAUGUGCUUGACAGCAUUACGAUCAUAAAAAGGCCUAAUGUUUGAGGACUCUUAUAAAAUGUUAUAUAACUUUUAAAACUACGCGUUACUCAUAACGUCUAAGGACUCUUAUAAAGUGUUGUAUAACUCUUAAAACUAGGCGUUACUCUUUGCCUAUGGUGAACGGAGUGGUGCUUUGGUGUUAGAACAAGACAUCCACCAACAAAUGCUAUCACUACUGAUGUUCUCUUCAAUACAUAUAUGUGCCCAUAUCAAUCCUCAGGAUUCAGCCUUGUGCAGUGAGGCUAGAGCUCUUUGCGUCUCAACACUUAUGAUCUUUUGUCGCGAUCAAUGACCAUUAUUUUUUUUACUUGACUCAUUUCCUAGAUUGCCAGCAGUCAUGGCGAUCGCCAACAAACUUGAGACAAGAUUAAUGUGUUUGCAUAAGUGAGUAUGCAGUUGCUCUUCUAAGUUUGAUGCAGAGGUUGGUAAGAUAAUUUCCAAAAAUGAAAAAAAAUAAAAAAAUAUCUAUGAGCUUAAGUUUUUGAUGAAAUUAAAAGAUGAUUCAAUUUUUUAAACUUUUGCGAUUUUUUUAAAAUUUUACAUUAAAAAUAUAAUCAGAUUCUAAUAUACAAUAUUUGGAAUUAUGAUUAUAUAUAUAUAUAUAUAGGGAAGUGCUCAAAUACAAACUAAGUUAGUGUACAAACUACAAACUUCAAUAUUUGGAAUUAUGAUUAUAUAUAUAUAUAUAUANNNNNNNNNNNNNNNNNNNNNNNNNNNNNNNNNNNNNNNNNNNNNNNNNNNNNNNNNNNAGAAAAUGGCGGGAUGAGGUAUGUGGUGAUGGUAAAUAGUCAUUGGUAGUGGCAAGUUAUGAUGACAGACGGUGAUAAGCAAAAAUCAUGGUUGUAAGUGAAGGCAGGAGGGGUUGAUAAUGAUGCCAGGAGUUUCAUCAAUGUAGUAUGAUUGAAUAUGAUGAUGAUGUACGUUGUAUAUAUGUGUAUUUAUACAUCUAUAUUUGUCAGAUUUUUGCAUAUAUAAGUUAAUGAUUUCUGAUAUACAAAUGAAUGAUUUUUGUAGUUAAGAAUAGUGAUGAAAAACUGGCCAGGGACUAGUUUCUAGUUUCUAUACUAAUUUAGUUUCUAAUGGAGUAAGCCCCUAUAUAUAUAUAUCCUCUAAAUUUGAUAAGAUCCGCUCCAGUUGAUUUUCACCUUAAUUGUUAUUUGAACAAGUCAAUGCAUUAUGUGCUUUUAAACAAUUAUGUUCAAUAAUAAAUAAUAUAAGAAGUAUGAUAUAUAAGUUCCUCCAUUAUCUUACGAAAAAAGUUAUAAAAAUUUAAAUCAACUUGAUAAGUAAAACUUAAAUCAAUUCCGAUAAGUGUUUUCUAAGAAACCAUAGCAUUACUUUUUGUUGACAUAUAUAAUACCGGAAGUCAUGUAUGCUUUGCCACAGCAGCAAGUGCAUGCAAAGCGAAAUGUUGGUGAUCAAGCUCAUGCAUAAAUCGUUAUUGCAGAUUUCCUAGUUUAGUCUGAACUCUGAAGUUUAAUAUAUUAAUACACAGAUAUGAGAUUGUGAUAAUUGUGUUCAUGGUUGCGCAUCAUCUGUUGAUUUUGUAGGUGACAAAUUGAUGCCUUGAGGAGAUUUGCUACAUUUCUCAUUAUAUACCAUUAUAUUGUCAGUACCCAUGCCCAUCCAAAACACAAUGUCACCUCAUAUCAUUCCCUUUAGAUUUCCCAUCUCUGAAGGGAUACUUCAAUCAAGAUUGUCUAGUGAGCCAAUUAGAGAGUUGUUACAUAGACUCAGAACUUGAAGUUCAGAUAAUUGGGAAAUAUAUUCUGGGAAAUUUACCAGUAAUGUUGUUGUCAUGGAAAUCAAGAUAUUCAUGAUUUGUCAGAUUUGUUAGGCCCUCAGGCAGCUUGCCAGAAAGCUUAUUUUCCCCUAGUGCAAGGAUACCUGUUAGUGUGGAAAAUGACACAGGAUGAGAGAUCUACAUAAUAAAGUAAGCCAAGAGAAUUAAAAACUGGAAACAGACUUUGGAAUGAGCCCAAAUUUGUUUCCAGAAAGCAUUAGUACCUUAAGUUUCUUAGCUUGACCUAUAUUUCCUGGCAACUCCCCAUCGAAAUCGUUUCUUCAGAGAGCCAAUAAUGAUAAGUUUAAAGAUUUGAAUAGACAAGAAGGAAUUGAACCAGUAAGGUUGUUAUCUGACAGUAGUAAACUUCCAACAUCCAUCUCAGCAAGCCAUUGCGGAAAUCGCUUCCUGUGAGCUGAUUGUGACUCAGGUCGAGAAUAUCAAGAUUCUUAAUUGUGGAAAUUCAUUCUGGAAUGUCUCCUUCAAUUUUGCAAGAUCUUAGAGACAUUUGAGGAAGCAUACACUUUGGAUUUAUAUUAACAUUGUUUUUCCAAAUCAUCUUAUUUCUUCGAAUGUAUAUAUUCUUCAAACUCUCUAUCUCAGAUAGCCAGGAGGGUAUUUCUCCAGAAAGCAUAUUAUCUUCAAGCAUAAGUGUAUCAAACUUGCUCAUGUUUCGUAAAGAUCAUGGGAUUACACCUGAGAAACUGUUUUUGCUCAAUGCCAAAGUGGAAAUGUUUAACAAGCUUCCAAUCUCACUUGGUAUCUGCAUCCGUAAAUUAUUAUCCCUCAAAUCCAAGCUUUCUAACCCCGUCAAAUUCAGAAUUGAAUCAGGAAUUGGUCCCGAAAAUUUAUUCUGGUUGAUAGAAAGUUGCUGCAACUUUGUGAGAUUCCCAAUCCGUACUGGAAUAUUUCCAUCAAGAAAAUUCUUAUCCAACUUCAAUGUCCUCAAAUCUGCAAGCUUUCCAACUUCGCGACUUAAAUCACCCUUUAACGAAUUUCCACUUAAAUCAAGAACCUGCAGAAACCUUAAGUUGAAUAGUUCUGCAGGAAUGGAGCCAUUAAAUUUGUUUCUACUCAUGUCAAGGUGAACUAAUCUAGUAAGAUUAGCCAACUUUUCUCCUGAAAUGUCCCCUCCUAUACCAUUAAAGGAGAUAUUAAGGAUCAUCAAGGAUCUGAUGCUGUAAAUGUGGUCAAACAUUCUUGGAUUUGCCACACCAUUGAAGUCCAAAUAAGGCCCGCUGAUGCUGUCCAGGUGCAGAGCUAUUAUCUCACUCGAAUUUGAACUGCAAACAACUCGUUUCCAAUCACAGCAAUCACAACUCGUUUUCAAACUUAGUGGAUUGGCCAUUAUUUUUUUUACUUAAUUUUGUGAAGUGGAGUUGGGUAUUACUGAAGAUAAGCACAUGUUUCUCCAAACUCCAGAGUGCAUAAAAAUGGAAAGGCUGAGUAAUUUUAUCAUAUUAGCCAUGUGUAUAAUUUCAAACUUUUUUUUUGAAUGUAGAAUUAUUGGUCAUCUUGAACUUAUAUUAUUUAUUAAAGCGCACCCAUACCACAUUGGAAGAUGCUCUCUAUUGACACUUUUGAGGCAUCUAAAGAAACAAGAUAAAGAUAAGUAAAUUUCAAGAAUCAAGAUGCCACAAAAUUAAGAUAGAGUGUGAUUUCUUAAGUCUUAAGUGCUUUUAGUCACAAAUUUGUCAUACAUUCGACUGGGUUGGUUAAUAAUUAGCACACACGAAAUUGUGCCAUGGUUUUGAACAACAGUGAAUAAACGAGUUUACAAUAUCUAAAUUAUAUACAUUAAGGAGGGACUUAACUGGUUGAAUUAUGUACAUUAUCAUUAUAAUACGCCUAAACAAUGCAUUCAUAUUUGAUAUAAAAUUUUGUUUACUUCUUAAAUAACCCUCGUUGUUUUUGUGUAACACAUCGCCAAUACUUUUUAAGACAAAAACGCUUCAAAAAAAUUUGAAAAUAUGAUAAGUAAUUUCCUCCAUUAUCUUAAAAUAAAGAUUAAAAAAACUAAAAUCAACUCCUAAGCGUGUUUUUAAGAGAUCGUAUGAUAUGAAUUACACUCCAUUUCAUCAAUUUUAUAACGAUAUAUAAUAUCUAAAGUCAUGUAUACAGUAUACUCAUGCAAAGCGAAAUGUUAGAAAACACAGUUAUACAUCAUGCUCAUGCAUAAUUCGUUAGUGAAGAUUUCCAGAAUAGAGUCUGAAGUACGAUAUAUUAGCCCUAAGUACCCUACAAGAGGAGAAGUUGAGAAAUUAUAUAGUCCGUGUGAUUGCUAUUUGCUCUGUCCAUGUAAUUGAGAAAUUAACAGUUUUGUAUGUGUUGACCAAAGCCGAUACCAAAACCGAGCAAAAUCUUAGGCAGACUGAUCGAUUGAAUUAUCAGCUUUCUGAGGAAUAUUUCCAAGAAUGAGGUCACUCACCAACCUAAAAUUGAAAUACAUUAUCAAUAGCGAUAUUUCUAAGUCAAUUAUCUACUACCAAUUUAACCUGUGUGUUUUUCCUAAUAGUGCACAUUGUAGAAAUUUUUUGAAAAUUAAUUAAGACAAACAAGUCUUUUUCUUUCGAAAUAAAGAUGAAAAAAACUCAUGUAUUGUUACCUUAAACUACCUAUAAAUCCUAAUGGUAUUUCUUAAACUAGGAAUGUUGAUUGAUAUUCUGUUCUUUUUUAGUAUAAUGGAAAAUCAAAACAAAUUGCUACUCCAAUAUUUAUAUUAAAAUAUAAAUAAUAUGAAAAAUAUGAUAUAUAAUUUCCUCCAUUAUCUUACAAAGAUAAAAACAAAUUAUCAUGCAACUGUUUUUCGAGAAUCACAGCAUUAAUCCUUUUUAAGAUAUAUUCCUUUUUUAAGAUAUAUAAUAUCAUAAGUCAUGUAUACUUUGUCAAUGCAGCAUGCAGAACGAAUGUUAUUGUUCUUGCUCAUGCAUAAUUAGUUCUUGUAAAUUUCUUAGUUUAUUCUCAAGUAGAGAUGAGAUUAUGAGAAUCAUGUAGGUGUUCAUGGUCGCUUAUCAUCUAUCGAUUUUGUAAGUUGACAAAUUGACACUAAGGAUCAACCUUUCUUCUGAAAUGUCCCCUUUUUUACCAUAUAGGAGAUACUAUUAAUUAAGAAUCAUCGAGAACCUAAUGCUGUAGAUGUGGCCAGAGAUUCUUCGAUUUGCCACACUAUUGAAUUUUAAAUAAGGCCUGAUGAUGUUGUUAAGGUCGAUUACUGUUAAGAUAUACCAAAUUAUGUUUUCAAACUUUUUUCCCAUCAUAGAAAUAUAUGGUUUAUGUGCAUAUAUACCAGAUUUUAUUAUCAAUAUGGGUGAAACAAUCAUAUACGAUUUGACAAAAAAAUAGAGUAAAUCACACUUUGCACCUGUAACUUUGGGGUGUUUUGCGAUUUGAUCUCAUUGUUUAAAAUUUUACACGUUGCACUCAUAAGUUUUUAAUCUGUAACGUUUUGCACCCACUUAACAUUUUCCAUCCAAAUUACUGUUAAGUCUAACAGAAAGGAGGGGUAGUUUGGGAAAGAACAUGCAUAAGUGAGGGAUAUGUGUAUUAUUCAAAAAAUGAGAUUUAAUUAAAGAUUAGUAAAACCAGGCGCGACUCAGAUAACGCUGCUUUAAGAUGUUUAGCUCACUAGGGUUUUUUUGUCUCCUUUUUUAUAGAUAAACCCUGUAUCUCCACAUUUGUGUGCGCUCGUUGUCAAUUCUUACACCAAUAAAUUUCAAUAAUUCUCGAAUAUCAUGUGAGUGUAAAUUAUAGGAUCGUUAGCUAAAUUUUAUUUGUUUUUAUAUUUUAUUGGUUAAUAUUUCAAAUUUUCAAAAACCAUUAUAUGAUAAAAUAGACUUUAAACAUUUAAUAAAUUUGUUUGGUUUUAUAUAUUUUGGUUAAAUAUAUGUAUUUAAUAGAUUUUAAAUAUAGGGAUAUGUAAGAAUAAAUAUAAUUUGAUGAGAAUGUUUUUUUUAAUAUAAUAAAAAUAUCUAUUUAACAUGUUUUAUUAGAAAGUAUCCAUUUAACAUGUUUUAUUUGAAAGUAUCCAUUUAGCAUGUUGAAUCAGUUUUUCAUAAUUUUUAACAAAUAUUUAAAGUAUCCAUUAGUUUCUUUAUUUAAAUGUGAACAUAUAUUAUUAGUUUGAAUAAUAUUUAUUAGAUAGUAUAAUAAGAUAUUUAUUUAUUUACAAAUUUAUUUAGAAAAUAUUAUGAUACCACCGUGAAGCGCGGUUUAUAAAUUAGUUAUUAUUUUAAUAAUAAUUUUGAAUUGAAGGAAAAAGGGGGGGGGAUAAAGAAAAAAGGAGGGAGUUGAAUUUUUAAUUCAUAAAUAUUAAAUAGGUAAUUGUUAUAGGUUACCAAAAAAAGCUCAUGGCUAGAAAAUUUGAGGAUGUAUUAGUGAUUUUGGUAAUUACUACGAUAGUGUUGGAGCACCUAUUUUUUUAUACAUUACCUAAAUGUGAGUUUAUAAAAAGGUCGCAAUUGUUUCUUGUAUAGUUUUAUAAUGCGUGGUUCGGUAUCUUCAUAUUUAUUAAAUGUUCAAGAUCUAUUUUAACAAAAAAACUACAUAUAAUUCUUACAUAUCUCUAUAUUCAAAAUAAAAUAAAUAUUAAAAUAUAUUUUAUAAAAUUCUUAUAAUCUUGGCUGUGAUUUAUAAUAUUUAUUUGUUAUUUUAUAAAAUAUGUUUUACUAUUUAUUUUAUUUUUGGUUUAAAAGGUAAUACAUCUCUUUCUAUGCCUCCUUUGUUGUUUUUCUCAGCUGCUCUUUGUGUCACGGUAUUUAAAUUCUACUUACCACUUGUUCAAGCAUGUGAUUGUAAAUUGGAAAGCCAGUGGUCAUUACUUCAUGGGGGUUAGGUGUCUCUGGGAUUAUUGAACAUUUUAGAUAUGUUGCAUAUAUUAUGGCAGGUUUUGAUUGGCUGUGGCCUGUGGGACUCUAGUUUAGAUUAAGUCGGUUNCCUGUGGGACUCUAGUUUAGAUUAAGUCGGUUAGCAUGCUAAACUAAUGUAAGGCCCUCCGUUGCAUCUUUGUUUUCCCAAACUGCCCCUGCCUUCUGUUACACUUAACGGUAGUUUGGAUGGAAAAUGUUAAGUGGGUGCAACAUGUUAUAAAUUAAAAACUUAUGAGUGCAACCUGCAAAAUUUUAAACAAUGAGACCAAAUCGCAAAACACCCCAAAGUUAUAGGUGCAAAAUGUGAUUUACUCCAAAAAAAUAUCAAACACUUUUUAGUUAUAUAGUUGGAAGAUGAUUUCCAGGGCAUGGAAAGAGUAAAUUUUAAUAAUGAAGAUAGGAUCUCUACACCAUCACGAUAGAGUAUCAUUAAUUUGACUGAUGUUUUCUCAAAUUCUUACUUUAACCCGCUAAUCCAAUUAUUAAUCUAAUUAUUAAUUAUAAAUACCCGCACACGCACUUUGAAAAUAUGAUAUAUAGUUUCCUCUCUUAUCUUAAACUAGUUGAAAAUAUGAUAUAUAGUUUCCUCCCUUAUCUUAAACUAAAGAUAAUAAAAAUUAUAAAACAAGUACUCCUAAACGUGUUUUUUCCGAGAUCAUAUAAUUUAAAAUCUGACUCCAUUUCACCUAUUUUGUAAAAUAUAAAAUAUUAUGCUUCAUGCAAAAUGAUAUGUUAAUAAACACAGCUCACCCUCAUGCAUUAUUCGUUAGUGAAGAUUUCUGAAUAGAGUUGAGGAAUGAUACUCCCUCCGUCCCAUCAGGAUGUUUACGUUCACUGUUUGCACGCAUUUUGAGCCUCUUAUAAAGUAUAGUUCAAAAAUGUUUUUUUAUUUUUUUUCUUUUUUUGAAUAAAAGUUUAAACGUCAAACUUUUUUUCAAGUUUUUUUUUAAAAAUAAAUAUAUAACUAGCUUUUCUUGCACGCGCUCCGCGCACGGGUGUCUUGAUAUUGUAGUUUUUUUUUGGCGUUGUGAAAUAAUUUUUAUGAUUAAGAACAUAAAAUCAAACCAUCAAACUGUCCCAAAUGAAAAAUUAAAUUAAAUAAAAAUAAAAUGCCAUUUGAAAUCAACAUAAUCAGGAUGAAAAGCUCAUAGUCUAUAAAGAAUUUGAGAAUAAUCUCAAAUACUUUAUUACAUUAUUGUUUCAUAAAAAUCUAAAUAUUGUAGUACGAUUAUUCAGCUAUCUUGGAGAUGUUAUAAUCAGAGAGCUAGCAGUGAUACAUAUUUAUCACGAUCAAGCCUAGAACGGCAUAAAACAUUUAUUGAUUAUUCUCAUAUUGUUUUGAAAUCAAAUAUACAAUUAUAUGAUUCCGUGUGAAUGAUGAGCAAAUUAAAUAAAUAUCUAUGUCUCAUGCUAUAUACCAUACUCAAUCUUGGAUUAACAUAAACUUUCGAUGCCGGUGUGUUGAUAUAAAUUGUCACCAAAUAGAUUUGGGAAUUAAAUGUAUUUAGAUGUGUAUAUGAUUGAGCCGGGUGAAAAUUUUGAUUCAACCUUCACACAUUUGAACCUUCAUAUUUACUUGCUAGAACCAAGAUUACCAGUGUUUCUAAAUCGUCUUGAUAUAUAUGAAUCGCAGAUAUAACUUGAUAUCUAAAGGUUGAUGCAGUAAUUGAACAAUAUAUUUCAUAGGAAUAUAAUCUGCAAAUAUGUGAUAUACUAAAAUGGAAGAUUACACAUGGAUUAGCAAACUUCGUUCAAAGAAUCCAGAUGAAUAUACUUCAUCCAUGAUAUGAAAACAUCAGACUUACCACUCAUCGUUUCUUCAUGCAUCAUAUUUGUAUUAGUCUUGCAAUUCUCAUUUUCAGUAAGUUAGACCGUAAGCCCUUACUCCGGAGGUACUUGAAGAAACAAUUUCGCAACCAGGUGGUUUAGUAUUCUUUCGUGUUCUUCCUUUCUUCAAUGAGAGUACAGACGAAUUUUUCCAUUCUUCAUAUUGAUUAUCAGCCAAAAAAUUUAGGCAUGUUGUUCUAUGUAUUGGUCAGAAUACAUGGUUUGUAUUUCAUCAAGCAUUAAGAGAUGACAAUUAAAAAACACUGAUUAGUUCUCAAUUGAAUACAAAUGCUAUAAUGUAUGCAUAAAUUAAGGGAUAGUCAACGUAGAAUUAUAAUUAAUUAACUUCACUUGACUUAAAUAUAAUCUUUCUUAAAAUAUAUAUAAUAUAUGUUUUUUAUUAAAAAUAUAUAACGAUAUCAUCUUUACACUUCAUUUGAUUAAUAGUUAAAUAAAACAAAGACGUCUUUAAUGACGAAGUAAACUAACGAAGUAAACUAAUUAUAUCAUUGUUAAUUAUAUAUGUUACAUAAAUGAAUAAGAUGUUAAAUCAAUAAAUUUGAAUCACGGAUUAUAAUUUAUAUACUGAGAUUUCAUACCGCAUUAAAAUUUAAAAUUUGCAACGGAUAACCUAUACUUAAUUCAAUCUAAAUGUUUCCUAAAUUUAAGGGAUACACUAUAUUUAAAUUUACAUGGUAUACUUUAAUUUUUAAAGUAAUAUCAUACAAAAAAUCUUCUAGUGUCUUUAGAAAGUCUUUUCAUAUUUAAUUCGAAAGAGUAAGAAGUUAAUAAUUACAGUCAAAAAUAGAAAAAUGUACGUAUAUAUACAUGUAGAUGUGAAAUAAAUUAAAUUAAUCUAAGAUAAGAAAAUUAUUAUUUGAAAAUAUUUUAAAUAAAUUUUAAUUUUAAAUGCAUAAUCCAUUUUAAUGGAUUAUCCAUUUGAUAAAUCUAUAUAUUCUUAAUGAAAUAAAUUUAACAAAAAACAAUAGUUAAAUCAUAAUUUUUCAAAGUAUGACAUAUUUAAUGGUGUAUUAAUACCUUUUCUUUUUUAUAUAAUCUUAUGAAAAUAUUUUAACUAUGUUUUAUUUUUAAAUAUUUUAAGACAAGACAAUUAGUAGUUUAAGAGUUAAACGUCUUCAAUUUUUUGAAGUUUUAAUGCAAUAUCAUAUAAAAAAUUUCUAGAGUGCUUAAAAAUCUAUAAAUGAAUACAUAUCAUAAUUUAGUUACAUUACAAAAAUUAUAUGCUACAAUUAUUGCUUAUAUUGAAAAUUGAUAAUAAGAAGAUAUGCGUGAUAAAUAUCUAUAAUAGAAUAGAUUCUGUAUUGAUUUUAUAACGGAAUAGAUUUUUCAUUAGUAUAAUUAAUAUAACCAAAUAUUUAAUAUAACAAUAAUAUUUAUGUUUGGAAUAAAAAUUUAUGUUUGGAAUAGAUUUAAAAUUGUAUAUAAUGAACUCGGAAACACAAAAAUUAAAUACAAAGGUAUUUUAGUAAUGGGAAAAUUAAUUUAAAGGUCCCUGAACUAUUGGUGUUUUAUUGUCUGGGUCCCUGAAAUAAAGAUUCCAAUAUCCGGGUCACUUACGUUUUCAAUUUUCUUGUUUGAGUCCUUCUGUUAACUGAGAUUCUAACGGACGUUAGAAUCUUGAUGACGUGGCAUAAUUGUUGACACUUGUAUAUGAAUUUUAUUUUAAAGGUCCUUGAACUAUUAGUAAUUUUCUCACUUGAGUCCUUUCAUUGAUUUAUAAUUUAUACUUAUGUUUUAAGAUAUUAACAUUUAAUUGGCUCAGAAGGUAUUCAAUCUUUAGUACAACUUAAAUUUUUUAAUUCAUAAUUAUUUAAGACGUCUAAUAGAUAAUAUUAUGUGUAACACUAAUUGGAAUUCUUGUAAAAUUAAUAUUGAUAGUUAUUUAACAAAUUAAUAUUGAAUUGUAACAAAACUUUUUAAGUUAAAUAAAUUCAAAACUGAUUUGUUAUUAGAUUUUUUGACAAUUUCUUGUGAGAUUUUUUUUUACAAUAUGACUAUAACCUUUGCGUUUUUUUAAAAGAACAUUUGCGUUUGUUAUGACAAUGUUCUUGGUAAGUCUGUUUGACAUGUCAUUUAUUAUGUGAUAAAAAAAACUAAUACACAAUAAAUUAAGAUACAUAGAAACAAGAGUUAAAACAUUAAUAUAACACACUAAAAUAAACAUUAACAUAUUUAUUAAUAUAACACGAUAAAUAUAUUAAUGUUUAAUUUACACAAUAAAUAUAUUAAUUUUUAUUAGUUAAUUAAUUAUUUAAUUAAUAUAUAUAUAUAUAUAUAUAUAUAUAUAUAUAUACACGAAAUAAAAAAUUACGAAUUAAAAAACUUAAGUUGCACUAAAGAUUGAAUACCUUCUAAGUCGAUUAAAUGUUAGUAUCUUAAUACAUUAUAAAUUUUAAAUCAAUGAAAAGACUCAAACAAGAAAAUUACUAAUAGUUCAGGGACCUUUAAAAUAAAAUUCAUACACACGUGUCAAUAAUUCUGCCACGUCAUCGAGAUUCUAACGUCCGUUAGAAUCUCAGUUAACGGAAGGACCCAAACAAGAAAACUGAAAACAUAAGUGACCCGAAUAUUGGAAUCUUUAUUUCAGGGACCCAGACAAUAAAACACCAAUAGUUCAGGGACCUUUAAAUUAAUUCCCAUUAACUAUAUCACUAAACUAUAUUAAGUAUAUCACUAAAAUAUAUUAAGUAUAUCACUAAAGUAUAUCAACUAAGAUCACUAAAAUACAACUGCUUAGUAUAAAUUUGGGAAUAUACUUCUUGUUAAAUAGUAUAUUUUACAUGUAUUUGCAAGUUUUAUGAUUUUGCAGGUUACAUAGUUCAAUGCAGAAGAAGUUCAAGACUUCGUGCACAUAGUUUGUCAAAGUUUACAAACACUGCAGAUACUUUGAAAAUUGAAUAUAGUGAAUAUGGAAACAACUACAUAUUAUAAAAAAAAGGAUUAAUGCAAAAAUUAUUGUAAAUCAAUAUUUUAACUACUUUUCCCUAUUUACAUAUGAGUUAUAGCAGACUAAAUUCAUGUAUCUGGACGAAAAUUGCGUCAUAUUCAUUUUCGGUGGUUCUUGUCAAACAACAAUGACACACAAUAAGAUGUAAACAAAAAGUCUAGAUCAAUAAGCAGAUGUUGAGGAAAAGUGAAUAUAAAUCUUCACACGAUGAGCAUCCGAUAGUGGCCUGGACGAAUCAUCUCUAUUCAGUAGCAGCAAGGAAAACUUAAUAACAAAAAGUGGCUCAAUAAAUGCAUUAGAGGACAUAUAUGCACCAUAAUCACUAUCAAUAUGAAAGGAAAUUAUGCAAAAAUAAUGUAAAAAAUUAAUUAAAAAUUAUCUUAUCAUCUAUACAACAUAAAAAAAACUCAAAAACUGAAAGAGAAAUACAAAAUAGAGAACAUACACCAAUGUUAAGGCACAAUCCCAUAUGUGAAGGUCGUAUACUUUUAUAAAAGCCUCUCUAGAUUUCCAAACUUUCACUCAGUGGCUGCAUUAAUCCAAUAUCAGGUGAAUCAAAUGAGCGCCCCACAUGAGAAUACCUAUUAAAUAACAGACACAAACUUAUUACAAAUUGUUGUAUAUCACACAAAUGAUUCUGCAUGAAGACGUUAACAACAAUACAAUCACGUCCAAGACUUUAUAGAAAUCAAGACCGAGAGUAUUGUAUCUUGAAAAUUAAUGCGUAUGGAAACUUUACUCUAGUGCGGAAAUCAAUUAUGAAAUUAUCUUGUAAUACUUGAAGUCUUGAACCGAUUUCGCUCUAAGAUCUUCAUUCAUUUCUUUUAACAUUAAUCUGAAACACAAAUAGAGUUUGAAGAGAUUAACUUGUUAUGAAUAAAAAAUAUAUUAAAUGAAUCAAACAACACAAAGAACAAACAAGUUAGUUUAGGCAUUCUAACAAACAUUUUAUGAUUUAUCUAAUCAUACUCACCAUAAAUCAGAAAUCAUACAUGACAAACUAUAACAAAAUUAAAAUAAAUUAAAUCCAGAAGAAUUAAAAGACAAAACACUAAGAUUACUUUUUGCAAAACACAAACCUCGACACGAAGAGUUAAAAAUUAUGUUCAAAAAAUAAUCCCUAAGUUCUAUAUCACAACACAAAUCUUUCAUUUGCACAAAAGUGUUCGAACCUUUUCUCAAAUUCCUGGAACAUGAAAUCAAUAGAAAUUGUGAGGACGGAUCUCUCAGCUUUUCUCUGUAGCAAACUAUCAAACACGUUAAAUACAAAAUCAUGUACUGAUUAUGAUACCGGCAGCGUUCAAACAACAAACUUCAGAAACCGUUCAACAAUAAUAAAAUGAACAAAUAUACACAAUGGAGCAAAUAUUGUAAAUUAAACUGGAAAUAGUGCAAUUCUAUUUCACGACCAAUGGUAUUAUUCUCUUUUUGACUUCGAGAUGUCAUCCCUUGUCGAAGUAUCGUCGCCAGAGGACUUUGACGGAUACUACCUGAUGCAUACACGGAUCAACGCGAUUUGUGCAAGAUAAGUAGAAUUCUAUUAUACAAUACAGUAAAUAAGCGUAAAGCAAAGUCUGUAGAUAGAGAAAUGAAUGUGUAAAAAAGCCAAGAUCAGUAGUACUGCAGCAAAAUCCGACCGAGGACACAAAUCAGUUCGAAAGCUAAGCAAGAAAACAUACCCGUCACGAUUAGAGGCGUGGAAGAAAUAAUGGUUUCGAAUGUGAAAUUCAAAUUAUCUGCUUUGAUCUGAUAAGAAUAUCAUAUGCAAAUAAGUAGCAAAGAUUAAAUCUGAACUGAUGUCGUGAUCAGUGGCACGAUUCAAGGAUGCAUGAUUAAUGCUAUUUUGAAAUUCUGAUCUUGAUACCAUGAUGAUCGUGAUAUGAUUUGAAUGUGCUCUCAGAUCCAACGAUACUCGGGUCGGGUUUCUUGAAGAUCCGAAAUGUUUCAUCGUAGUGUUAAUUUGAAUAAGGAAGAUGCUGGGUCGAAUCGGAAGCUUGAUGGGUUGAUCCAAGAGCCUGUGAAACUACCAUAUCAUCCUUAAAAAAUUUGAUUUGAUGAAACAAAGUACAACCUAUCCAGUAGCCAAAUAAUAUCAUAUUAAAAAGAAUGAUUUGAUUUUGAAUUUAGAAAUAAUGAUGAUUAGCAUUGAUUUUGAAUCAAUGCUGACUUGAUAGUUAAGACAAUAAAAGCAAGAUUGCAUGCAUAAUUUGUGGGACUGUCCAAAACUUGACAUAUAUGAAUCAGUUGAUUAGAUGGCACUGCAUAUGUGGCAUAAUUAAAAUAUGUGGCUUUAUGAUGUGGCAUUUAUGAAUUACGUGGAUUUCUUGACGUGGCAUCGUUCGGGAAUUAUGAUAUACAUAGAUGUUCCACCCGAAGUGGAGUUUCUUUUUUUGAAUAAAAGUUUAAACGUCAAACUUUUUUUCAAGUUUUUUUAAAAAUAAAUAUAUAAUGUUCCACCCGAAGUGGAGUUAAUAAACUGGUUAAUUGGCUUCUCCAUGUUGAACAAUGUUUGUCUCAAUGUUCAUCAAGGAUUUGGCAGGUUUGCAAAAGUGGAUCUUAUCUAUUUGUAUUCGGAAGGUCCGAAUAGAUUUAAGAUCUGAAAAAUUUCUCGGACAAUGACAAUUGUAAGUUAUGUUGUUCUAGAUGUAGUAAUUUAUAGAAAUCUUUUAUUCAUUGAGACACCUUUUCUUUGAGUAUUAUAAAUUUAAGAUGCUAUUAUGCUAAAUUAACUAUGUUUCCAUUAUUCAAGCCUUUCUUGUGAUUUUGUUGUCUUUUGAGAGAUUUAUAUCUCUUAAGUAUAGACUGAAAUGAAUAUCUUUAUUAUUGUUAUGUUUUCAUUUUCAAUAAAAAUAAGAAUUUCAGCUUGUUUGCAAAUUAUAUCUACGAAAUAAAAUUUUAAUAUUCUAGAUGCAAAAUUACAAUGUAAUUGAAUUAAGUUCAUUAUUUUGCUUAUUUUAGUUUGGGUUCAAUGUUAUAUAUAAUUAUUGUUGUUGCAAACAAUGAUACCAAACAUAUUCUUCUGGCUACUCCAUUCAGAAUUACAAUAAUAUUGUUUUCCUCAUCAACUAAAAUCCUGGGUGUCAACUACAAUACGAUCAGUUUAAAACUUUAUUGUAUAUAUGCUCAUUGUAUCUACUUUCACAGAGACACCAAUAUAAUAUAUUUCAUUGCAUCAAACAUGCUAACCUUGAAUUGCUAAUAAAGAGAGCAUCGUGACCAUUUAGACCUAGCGAAAAAAGGAUAUAUUAGUCAACUCGAUCCAUUAUCUUCUACUACUUAUAUAUAUCAAGCACGCUUGUCAAGAUGAAUAAUCUGGACACUUUUAUUUAUUUAAUAUAUAUAUAUGUAUAUAUAUAUAUAUAUAUAUAUACACGAAAUAAAAAAUUACGAAUUAAAAAACUUAAGUUGCACUAAAGAUUGAAUACCUUCUAAGUCGAUUAAAUGUUAGUAUCUUAAUACAUUAUAAAUUUUAAAUCAAUGAAAAGACUCAAACAAGAAAAUUACUAAUAGUUCAGGGACCUUUAAAAUAAAAUUCAUACACACGUGUCAAUAAUUCUGCCACGUCAUCGAGAUUCUAACGUCCGUUAGAAUCUCAGUUAACGGAAGGACCCAAACAAGAAAACUGAAAACAUAAGUGACCCGAAUAUUGGAAUCUUUAUUUCAGGGACCCAGACAAUAAAACACCAAUAGUUCAGGGACCUUUAAAUUAAUUUUCCCUUUUAGUAAUUAAUGUCAAAAUCAGUGGAAAUUAAAUAAAGUCUGACUUCCCUAUUUGCAUAUGAACUAUAACAGUUUAGAUCCAUGUAUCAUAAUAUUUUAAAAUCAAAUAUAUAAAAACUUCCUUAUCAAGAGCUAAAAUUGUGGAGUGAAAAAGGACUCCAUUAAUUUGAAAUUAUAACAAAAAGCAUAGAUUUGAAAAUUGAAUAUAGUGAAUAUGGAAACAACUACAUAUUAUAAAAAAAAGGAUUAAUGCAAAAAUUAUUGUAAAUCAAUAUUUUAACUACUUUUCCCUAUUUACAUAUGAGUUAUAGCAGACUAAAUUCAUGUAUCUGGACGAAAAUUGCGUCAUAUUCAUUUUCGGUGGUUCUUGUCAAACAACAAUGACACACAAUAAGAUGUAAACAAAAAGUCUAGAUCAAUAAGCAGAUGUUGAGGAAAAGUGAAUAUAAAUCUUCACACGAUGAGCAUCCGAUAGUGGCCUGGACGAAUCAUCUCUAUUCAGUAGCAGCAAGGAAAACUUAAUAACAAAAAGUGGCUCAAUAAAUGCAUUAGAGGACAUAUAUGCACCAUAAUCACUAUCAAUAUGAAAGGAAAUUAUGCAAAAAUAAUGUAAAAAAUUAAUUAAAAAUUAUCUUAUCAUCUAUACAACAUAAAAAAAACUCAAAAACUGAAAGAGAAAUACAAAAUAGAGAACAUACACCAAUGUUAAGGCACAAUCCCAUAUGUGAAGGUCGUAUACUUUUAUAAAAGCCUCUCUAGAUUUCCAAACUUUCACUCAGUGGCUGCAUUAAUCCAAUAUCAGGUGAAUCAAAUGAGCGCCCCACAUGAGAAUACCUAUUAAAUAACAGACACAAACUUAUUACAAAUUGUUGUAUAUCACACAAAUGAUUCUGCAUGAAGACGUUAACAACAAUACAAUCACGUCCAAGACUUUAUAGAAAUCAAGACCGAGAGUAUUGUAUCUUGAAAAUUAAUGCGUAUGGAAACUUUACUCUAGUGCGGAAAUCAAUUAUGAAAUUAUCUUGUAAUACUUGAAGUCUUGAACCGAUUUCGCUCUAAGAUCUUCAUUCAUUUCUUUUAACAUUAAUCUGAAACACAAAUAGAGUUUGAAGAGAUUAACUUGUUAUGAAUAAAAAAUAUAUUAAAUGAAUCAAACAACACAAAGAACAAACAAGUUAGUUUAGGCAUUCUAACAAACAUUUUAUGAUUUAUCUAAUCAUACUCACCAUAAAUCAGAAAUCAUACAUGACAAACUAUAACAAAAUUAAAAUAAAUUAAAUCCAGAAGAAUUAAAAGACAAAACACUAAGAUUACUUUUUGCAAAACACAAACCUCGACACGAAGAGUUAAAAAUUAUGUUCAAAAAAUAAUCCCUAAGUUCUAUAUCACAACACAAAUCUUUCAUUUGCACAAAAGUGUUCGAACCUUUUCUCAAAUUCCUGGAACAUGAAAUCAAUAGAAAUUGUGAGGACGGAUCUCUCAGCUUUUCUCUGUAGCAAACUAUCAAACACGUUAAAUACAAAAUCAUGUACUGAUUAUGAUACCGGCAGCGUUCAAACAACAAACUUCAGAAACCGUUCAACAAUAAUAAAAUGAACAAAUAUACACAAUGGAGCAAAUAUUGUAAAUUAAACUGGAAAUAGUGCAAUUCUAUUUCACGACCAAUGGUAUUAUUCUCUUUUUGACUUCGAGAUGUCAUCCCUUGUCGAAGUAUCGUCGCCAGAGGACUUUGACGGAUACUACCUGAUGCAUACACGGAUCAACGCGAUUUGUGCAAGAUAAGUAGAAUUCUAUUAUACAAUACAGUAAAUAAGCGUAAAGCAAAGUCUGUAGAUAGAGAAAUGAAUGUGUAAAAAAGCCAAGAUCAGUAGUACUGCAGCAAAAUCCGACCGAGGACACAAAUCAGUUCGAAAGCUAAGCAAGAAAACAUACCCGUCACGAUUAGAGGCGUGGAAGAAAUAAUGGUUUCGAAUGUGAAAUUCAAAUUAUCUGCUUUGAUCUGAUAAGAAUAUCAUAUGCAAAUAAGUAGCAAAGAUUAAAUCUGAACUGAUGUCGUGAUCAGUGGCACGAUUCAAGGAUGCAUGAUUAAUGCUAUUUUGAAAUUCUGAUCUUGAUACCAUGAUGAUCGUGAUAUGAUUUGAAUGUGCUCUCAGAUCCAACGAUACUCGGGUCGGGUUUCUUGAAGAUCCGAAAUGUUUCAUCGUAGUGUUAAUUUGAAUAAGGAAGAUGCUGGGUCGAAUCGGAAGCUUGAUGGGUUGAUCCAAGAGCCUGUGAAACUACCAUAUCAUCCUUAAAAAAUUUGAUUUGAUGAAACAAAGUACAACCUAUCCAGUAGCCAAAUAAUAUCAUAUUAAAAAGAAUGAUUUGAUUUUGAAUUUAGAAAUAAUGAUGAUUAGCAUUGAUUUUGAAUCAAUGCUGACUUGAUAGUUAAGACAAUAAAAGCAAGAUUGCAUGCAUAAUUUGUGGGACUGUCCAAAACUUGACAUAUAUGAAUCAGUUGAUUAGAUGGCACUGCAUAUGUGGCAUAAUUAAAAUAUGUGGCUUUAUGAUGUGGCAUUUAUGAAUUACGUGGAUUUCUUGACGUGGCAUCGUUCGGGAAUUAUGAUAUACAUAGAUGUUCCACCCGAAGUGGAGUUUCUUUUUUUGAAUAAAAGUUUAAACGUCAAACUUUUUUUCAAGUUUUUUUAAAAAUAAAUAUAUAAUGUUCCACCCGAAGUGGAGUUAAUAAACUGGUUAAUUGGCUUCUCCAUGUUGAACAAUGUUUGUCUCAAUGUUCAUCAAGGAUUUGGCAGGUUUGCAAAAGUGGAUCUUAUCUAUUUGUAUUCGGAAGGUCCGAAUAGAUUUAAGAUCUGAAAAAUUUCUCGGACAAUGACAAUUGUAAGUUAUGUUGUUCUAGAUGUAGUAAUUUAUAGAAAUCUUUUAUUCAUUGAGACACCUUUUCUUUGAGUAUUAUAAAUUUAAGAUGCUAUUAUGCUAAAUUAACUAUGUUUCCAUUAUUCAAGCCUUUCUUGUGAUUUUGUUGUCUUUUGAGAGAUUUAUAUCUCUUAAGUAUAGACUGAAAUGAAUAUCUUUAUUAUUGUUAUGUUUUCAUUUUCAAUAAAAAUAAGAAUUUCAGCUUGUUUGCAAAUUAUAUCUACGAAAUAAAAUUUUAAUAUUCUAGAUGCAAAAUUACAAUGUAAUUGAAUUAAGUUCAUUAUUUUGCUUAUUUUAGUUUGGGUUCAAUGUUAUAUAUAAUUAUUGUUGUUGCAAACAAUGAUACCAAACAUAUUCUUCUGGCUACUCCAUUCAGAAUUACAAUAAUAUUGUUUUCCUCAUCAACUAAAAUCCUGGGUGUCAACUACAAUACGAUCAGUUUAAAACUUUAUUGUAUAUAUGCUCAUUGUAUCUACUUUCACAGAGACACCAAUAUAAUAUAUUUCAUUGCAUCAAACAUGCUAACCUUGAAUUGCUAAUAAAGAGAGCAUCGUGACCAUUUAGACCUAGCGAAAAAAGGAUAUAUUAGUCAACUCGAUCCAUUAUCUUCUACUACUUAUAUAUAUCAAGCACGCUUGUCAAGAUGAAUAAUCUGGACACUCUUUCUCUUCUACAAAAAAAAUGAUCAACUACACUUUACAGACACUCUCCAUGAAUUACAAAACCCCAAUUUCUAAUAUUAAGAACACAAGUUCUCUGGCUUUGAUAAUGUAUAUAGAGAUUUAGUAAAGAAUUUUGACCCUUUUUAAGAUUAAUAGACCGAUGAAAUACAUCUUAUAAUAAUGUGCUAGAAUUAAUAUUAGCAUAUAUUCAUCAUCUUUUAUGAUAAUUGUUGAAUUUAUAUUUUGCAUAUUCAAGUGAAUGCUAAUAAACUUUAAGACGAGAAUCAAAUUCUACAAUUCUUUUAAAGUGCCGAACCUUGGCCAAGCUCCAACAUUCUUGAUUGUUUAUAAUAACCAAGUUCAUUAUUUUAUUACUAAAUAAUAUCAAUCUAUGUUAAUAAGAUAAAUAAUAUUUAAUUUCUAUAUUUUAUAUAAUUAUUAAUGUUUACUUUGAAUACAUUGUGCUAAUUUGAAAAAACAAAAAUUACAAAUGAGAUGAUACAAAAAUGAUAUUCCUUAUUUUUAAUUCUUUGAAAUAUUUUAACUACAUUGAAAAUAGAAUCAAGAAGUUACAAUUAUAUUUGAUUAGACCCUUUGAUUAUUCGGAAAUAAAGUUUUUAUUCUCUAAGGGGUCAUUUGGCAAAUCUGAAUGAUUUUCAUCUGAAUUAUUAAUAUAUCUGAAUUAUAUGAAUCAAUCAAAAAUCUAAAUCCAAACCAAUAAUAUCAUUUGAUAUUUUUUUCAUGAUAUCUGAAUGACAUUUUUUUUAUUUUGUACGAUAUAUUAGAUUAUGUGACAAUUUUGAUGUGCACUGUGCAUGAUGUCAUUAUGAUAUUUUAUAAUAAAUAAAAACAUAAAGAAUUAAUUUUUCAAAUUCUUUCAUUUAGUUAGUCAUUUAAUAAAAUUAUUUGAAUAAUUAUAUAAGUUCGAAAAAGCCGAAUUAUUGAAAAAUAUAUAAUGAUUAUAUGUACGUAUUAAUGAUAAAUUUAUCACAAAUUUUUUUAAGAUGGGUGUGAUUCUUGAAGUGAGUGGGCAUCUGCAGCCUGCAAGUGUACCGUGUAUGAAUGAGUCAUGGUGUACCGUGUAUGAAUGAGUCAUGCAGGAUUUUGUAAAUGACCGGUUAAGCAAUUGUGAGAUUGGAUCAGUCAAUUUUGAAGAAAGCCCAAACAAUCUGAAUAAGAAGAAUCGGUCAGUUGAAUAUCAUUAAGCUCCAUUCAGAACUAAACAAAUGAGCCCUAAAUGCAAGAUUGCAAUGGAAUUAAAUUAAGUUUUUUUUACUUACUUUAGUUUGGGAUUCAAUACUUUGUGAUUUAAUUUGUGGUUACAGAGAGUGGUUGCUAGCCUAAUGCCACACGUAGUGACAAAAAUGACACGGUUCAAGUUGAGUAGGUAAGUAUGUCAUCAAAAUGAGUUGGAGAGUUGGGGAAGAAGCUUAACAGUUAGUAAAUAGUUUUAAUCGCCAAUAGUUUGGUUACAUUCGAAGCGCUGUCCAUCAACAUUUGUUUAUAAAUCUUUGUAGACUUAUAGUUUCUCUAAGAUCAGACCAUAUAUGUAUAAGAUAUCAUACGAAAAGAAGGGGAGUAUCUUCAUAUUCUGAAUGGAGCUUGAAGUCAGAAGAUGCAGCUUUCACUUUUACUUUUUGCAACUUUGAAUGAAACUUGUAUAAUGUAGUGAGCUGAGCAGUGUUCCUUUUUACCUUAAAGCUCGAUUUAGAAACUUCAGGUUCUAGCUGUAAUUAUUAUUGAUUUCGGCUUCUUAUUUAUAGUAUUCUUGCACCAGGGAAAAAUAAGUUCUCUGGAAGCCUGCCCAGGAACCUCACUAAGCCUAUAGUAUUCUUAUUUAUAGCUGUAAUGAUUUAAUAGUGUAUUGGAAGAAUGCUAUGCAAGGUCUCUCAAGUCAUAAUCGACAUAUUUAUACUUUCCUAGACUUGUCGAACGAUAAGUUUUCAGGUGAUGUCCCAGAUUCAUUCCGAAAUCUCAAUGGACUGAAGCUACUCAUGAACUCUCAGGAUAUAUACCCCAAAGUUUUGGAGAUCUAGAAAGUAUAGAGAUAUUGGACCUUUCUAACAAGAAUAUCUCUGGUACAAUUCCACAAUCAUUUCAGAAGCUAAAUUAAUUAUCAGUACUAGAUGUGAGUAGCAACAAGCUAAGUGGUAAAAUCCAAUCCCGCCAGGGCGACCUUUCUAAAAACUCGACCAGAAUACAGCAUCUAUCAGUCUUGAAUCUACUCACUAUUAAGUGAAAAUUAGGAUUAGGAGUACGCGUAACGCGAUUGUUAUGCGAAAGUAGCUUAAAUUUGAAGCUUGCUACAUGAAAAACAUUUCAUACUAUAAUUUUUAUUAAAAACACAGGAUUGGAUAUAUAAUACUUGUAUAUUAGUACCACCUGGAAUAGUGUUUAAAUUGUCAAUCUAAUUAGGAGUAUAUAUGUAUAAUAUUUCUAGAACAUGACUGAUACAUUAUUUGAACAAAGAAUUUUCAAUCCUGAUCCCAAAGAAUCUACAAGUCUACCAAGAUUUAUAAACAACUGUCGAUGAAGGGGAGCGCUAAAAAUGUAAACCCGAGGAAAACUAUCUACUACAGUAACUAUUAAGCUUCUUCACUUUUCUUCAACUCACUUUGCUGACAUACUUAGCUAAUCAACUUGAACCAUGUCAAAAAAAAAACUUGAACUUGAACCAUGCCAUUUUUUCCACACCUAAUCAAAAUUACACUUUACGGUUUAUCACAUGAAAUUACAUGAAAAUUCUAUAAAUAACUAAUCGAUGACUAUCCUGUCAAAAAACUGCUCUUUCUAGUUAGGUGGCAGAUUUUAUUGGUGGAGAUUUUUGUACAAACAGGAUCAUCAUUAUUAAUGAGAUUGGAGCCCAUAAAAAUCUGUCACCUAGUUAAAUAGCUAUUUUAUUGUGUGCCCAUGGUCACACCCCAGAAAAAUCGGGAAAAAAAUCUAAUCGAUGACCAUAAGAGAAGGAAAAGAAAAGUCAUCGGAAUAAUAGCAACUUGUGUUACGGAAGGACACACAAUCAGACAAUGUCUUAUUCAACUUUUCUCUGGUUCAUGUAGAUUAGUCUUGAAAUCAAUAAAUGAUCAAUAAUACUUCAAUGUCCUACUUGAAAAUUGUCUUGCAACCACUUAAUGGCCAUUAAUCUGUUCAUAUAAACAUUUUAAUAUUGGUCCCAGACUUGGAGCCGGUAACAUUUCAAACGGUAUUAAUUCAGAAGGCUCCACAGUAGACAUGUACUUUACUCUAUUAAGCAACUCUGCUUCACAAAAACUAGCAAAAGAAACACAACCAUGGAGAGUAAGGGAAGCCUGAGCAAAGUAGUCUUGUCUUUUAUUUUCAGGCUCAUGCUAUGCUCACCUUGUCCAACCCAUCAAAAACAGUCCCUUCUCCGCUUCAAGUCCUCCUUUGUCGAUGCCUACAACACCUCAGACCCAUCACUUUUGGACUUGGGGUCUUGGGACUCCACUUCUGAUAGCUGUGCAUGGAAUAGAGUUGUUUGCGGUUCCUAUUCACGUAGCAUAGUAGCUCUAAACCUUAGCAAUAUUUAUACUCCACUACAACACUAUAAUAUCAAUCCAAAUAUCUUAGACCCCAUUUAUAGCAUCACAUCUUUAUCGCUUCUUAAUAUCUCUUAUAACUUUAUAGUAGGGGAAAUUUCGGGCAAAGGAUUGGCUAAUCUCACGAAACUAGUUCACCUUGACAUGAGUUUGAAUGAUUUUAAUGGCACAAUUCCAGCACAAGUUUUCCAGUUAAAGAAUCUGCAAUUUCUUGAUUUAUCUUAUAAUUCACUGAAGGGUGGUUUAAGUAGUGUAGUUGGCAAGCUUGGAAAUUUGAGGACUCGAAAGUUGGAAGAGAAUGUGCUUGAUGGAUAUGUUCCUGUGCAGAUUGGAAAUCUGACAAAGUCGCAACACUUUUCUAUCAAUCACAACAAAUUAUUGGGGCGUAUUCCAGAUUCAAUAGGGUAUUUGAAGGGAUUGGAAAGAUUAUACAUGAGCGAAAACAGUUUCAGUGGUUUAAUACCUCCAUCAAUAAGUAACUUGAUCAGGUUGGAAACACUUCUCUUGGAAAAUAAUAGGCUUUCUGGAGAAAUCCCUUCAAGUUUAUUUGACAUAGAGAGUCUCAAGAUCUUAAAUCUUGGAGGAAACACAUUAACUUGGAAUAACAAUGUCAAAAUAGUUCCCAAGUGUAUGCUUUCUCAACUCUCUCUCAAAUCAUGCAAAUUUAAUAUAAUAUUUACAUACUUUUAAAACUAUUUAAUAUAAAAUAUGUGUAAAUUGCUAGAUGAUAUGUAAAUAUGAUAUGUAUUAUUGUACUCAUAAAUGUAUUAUCUAACAAUUUACACAUUUUAUUUAAAAUAAUUUUUUAAAUAUGUAAAUAUUUUAUUUUUAAGCAUCACUUUAUGAGUUAAACAAAUUUUAUUUUUCUUUCAUAUUCCCAUUAAAUAGAGCAAUUAAAAUAUUAUAUUAAAAUUAAAUAUAUAAUAAAUAAUUAAAAUUUUAAAAUCUGAGGCUCAAGACAUCAUGUAAACACCCUCCCCUGUAUCUAUGUUUAUAUAUGUCGAUUUUUCAUGUAAUGUGUUGUUGCCACAAUACUAUCCAACUUCAUUCGCAUCCAUCAAAUAUGUCAAAUACUAAUAUUGUAGUGGGUAACGCAGAGGACUUUCUCAAUCCAAGCGUCGUGGACGAUCUCGUGGGUUAAGAAAUAUACCCAACAGAGGCAAUUUGUCCCGACAUUGAUGUCACUCAAUGUUCCACCCGAAGUGGAGUUAAUAAACUCGUUAAUUGGCUUCUUCAUGUUGAACAAUGUUUGUGUCAAUGUUCUUCAAGGAUUUGGCAGGUUUGCACAAGUGGAUCUUAUCUAUUUGUAUUUGGAAGGUCCGAAUAGACUUUUAAGAUUGAUUUUUAUUUCAAGGGCUUGUUUUUCCCUAUCUCAUUACCUAGCAUUUUCAACGCCAUGGUGUGCAAAUGGAACGGCGACAUAUAUUAUGGAACUGUGCGGACAAUGACAAUUGUAAGUUAUGUGGUUCUAGAUGUAGUAAUUUAUAGAAAUUCUUUAUUCAUUGAGACACCUUUUCUUUGAGUAUUAUAAAUUCAAGAUGCUAAAUUAACUAUGUUUCCAUUUAUUCAAGCCUUCUUUGUGAUUUUGUUGUCUUUUGAGAGAUUUAUAUCUCUUAAGUAUAGACUGAAAUGAAUAUCUUUAUUAUUGUUAUGUUUUCAUUUUCAAUAAAAAUAAGAAUUUCAGCUAGUUUGCAAAUUAUAUCUACGAAAUAAAAUUUUAAUAUUCUAGAUGCAAAAUUACAAUGUAACUGAAUUAAGUUCAUUUUUUUGCUUAUUUUUGUUUGGGUUCAAUGUUGUAUAAUUAUUUUUGUUGCAAACAAUGAUACCAAACAUAUUCUUUUGGCUACUCCAUUGAGAAUUACAAUAAUAUUGUUUUCCUCAUCAACUAAAAUACUGGGCGUCAACUGCAAUACGAUCAGUUUAAAACUUUACUGUAUAUAUGCUCAUUGUAUCUGCUUUCACAGAGACACCAAUAAAAUAUAUUUCAUUGCAUCAAACAUGCUAGCCUUGAAUUGCUAAUAAAGAGAGCAUCAUGACCAUUUAGACCUAGCGAAAAAAGGAUAUAUUAGCCAACUCGAUCAAUUAUCUUCUACUACUUAUAUAUAUCAAGCAGGCUUGUCAAGAUAAUAAUCUGGACACCCUUUCUCUUCUAUAAAAAAAAUGAUCAACUACACUUUACAGACACUCUCCAUGAAUUACAAAACCCCAGUUUCUAAUAUUAAUAACACAAGUUCUCUGGCUUUGAUAAUGUAUAUAGAGAUUUAGUAAAGAAUUUUGACCCUUUUUAAGAUUAAUAGACCAAUGACACAUCUUAUAAUAAUGUGCUAGAAUUAAUAUUAUCAUAUAUUCAUCAUCUUUUAUGAUAAUUGUUGAAUUUAUAUUUUGAGUAAUCAAAUGAAUGCUAAAUAAACUUUAAGACAAGAAUCAAAUUCUACAAUUCUUUUAAAGUGUCGAACCUUAGCCAAGCUCCAACAUUCUUGAUUGUUUAUAAUAACCAAGUUCAUUAUUUUCUUACUAAAUAAUAUCAAUCUAUUUUAAUAAGAGACAUAAUAUUUAAUUUCUAUAUUUUACAUAAUUAUUAAUGUUUUCUUUGAAUACAUUGUUCUAAUUUGAAAUAACAAAAAUCACAAAUGAGAUGAUACAAAAAUAAUAUUCCUUGUUUUUAAUUCUUUGAAAUAUUUUAACUCCAUUGAAAAUAAAAUCAAGAAAUUACUAUUAUAUUUGAAUAGACCCUUUGAUUAUUCGGAAAUAGAGUUUUUAUUCUCUAAAUGCGAGAUUGCAAUAGAAAUUAAAUUAAGUUUUUUUUUUACUUAUUUUAGUUUGGGAUUCAAUACUUUGUGAUUUUGUGGUUACAGAGAAUGGUUGCUAGCCUAAUGACACACGUAGUGACAAACAAGAUAUAUCUUUUUUUACAUUAAAUAUUGUUUAUAUUUGUUAAUAAUUAUUUAAUUUGACCUUUGACAAACUAGAUAUAUCUUUUGUUUACAUAUAAUAUUGUAUAUAUUUGAUAAUAAUUAUAUGACUUGACCAUUUAUCAAACCUAGAUAUUUUAGGUUUUAAAAAAAAAUCCUAUAAGUGGCUUAACUAAAAGUCUGAUAGCCAGUUCUAGACUUCUAGUAUCCAGAUUCAUUCUACUUGAAUUUUAAUAACCUAAAGCAUGCAUGCAGAUGGUAUAACAUAUAUAUUAAAUUUUAUUUAUGAGAUGACGGAAAAACAAACAAACAAACCACAUAUUCCCAUUUUUGUUUACUCGAAACCAAUUGGGUACCAAAUAAUAACUCUGCUUAUGCAUGUACUAAUAGGACUGACAUGAAGUUGAUUUUCAUUAGGACAGAAACAAAUCAUGAUGCAAUUAGUAUAAACACACAAUGAUUUAACUCUGAAUUAACAAACUAAGGAAAACAAACAAGAUAAAAGAAGGAGCAAAAACAUGUUACAAUAGUAGCAUGUUACGAUAGUAUUGUACUUACGUAAUAGCAGAGGAACAGUGUCACAAGCUUCCAAGUCACAACCUUACGAUAGCUUUCUUUCCAUGCAAUAACAAAUACAAUGUGUACUUUUAUAUUAACACUAUGGUUAUGGUGCUGAUAGCAUGUUAGAACAAAUAUACUAUACUAGUUCAGAUAGCAUAUAAGAGUAGUGAAGUUGUAAUAUUUUUCUCUUGUGUGUUAUACAAGCUCAAUCUUCAUCCCUAUUUAUGUGUAUACAAGAUGUAGGUUACAUAAACUUGACGAGCCAAAAGUCAUGGACUUGUAACUUGUAAGGACAUGGACUUAAGUUACAUGUAGUUGAAAGAUCAAAGGGUAGAGCUUUGAACAUUCUAGAGUCAUCCCCUUGUAUACAUGAUAAUAAGUAGAUUAUAACCAGCCCCCCUCCCCCUUCUCACAACAGUAUGAUUUCACAUAUGGCUUAUGUCUACAUAGUACCUUAAUACCAAUACUGAUUUUCAACUAACUGAGCUCCUUCCUUGUCAAGUCAAGUCCAUGUUUUCACUACUAUAUUUAUAAGCAGCUUAGUACAUACGACAUGACAAUUAAAUUUAAGAUAGUCUGUAUAAGCAGUUGGAGAUAAUUUAGCCUAAUAGUGGGGUUUUUUGGGGGGAGGGGGGGGGGGGGCAAAAUACAAUUAAAUAUAAUUCCCUCUACGUUGUACAAUAAAACAUGUUCUAAAGCAAAUAUUAAAGCAAAUAAACCACUCAGUUAUAAAGAGGAGAUUAAAAUAAUUUUAUUUGUAUAAAUAUUUGUGUGAUUCAAAUGUGCAGACACUAAAUUCUUUAGAAAGUUUUUUAUGGGGUUUGAGCAUGAACUAAUUUGGGAAAAAACAUACACUGGCCGCCAAUAUUUUAUAAACAACAAUAUGAUGACAAGGAGUAUAUGAAAUACAAUUACUCUAAUUUAUUCCAGAACAAAGACAAACACAUUUGGGAUUUAUCUAUACACAUUACUUGUGUUCUUGAUGAUUCUUGAACAUGCACUAUAUUUAGGACAAAGGGUACACAAGUUAUCAGUUUUAUUAAUAAAUUCAGAACAUAUUACUCAGUUAUGGGACAACAGUUGCUAAAUAUAAUAAUUGUAUGUAUAGAUAGUAUAUGAAAUCUGUUACCUUAAGCCUGAAGGCCGAGUGAUGGCAGCACAGUUAUCAUCCAACAGAUUAGUACAUAGGCUUGACAUCCCUGUGAAUAAAAAGUGUUAUUAGCUUUAGUAAUGUGCAGAUAAGGCAUCCAUCUUACUGCACCAAUAAAAAUAUGAAGUGAUAUUAAAUUUUGUACAAGAUGCCCCCUUGCAAUUCCAACACAAUAUACAGUGAUCAAAUAAGCCAGGACCAUUUCAUUAUCCCCUUCGCGCAGUAAACCAAUUAGUGACACGAAAUGUCUGUGCCUAGAAAUCAUUAGGAUAAAAAAAUUAAAGGAUCAACAAAGAAACUAAGAAUCAUUAGCUUCAAACUAAAAACCACCCAGGUUCAGUCAUUCCAUCACAGCAUUACAAACAACUCUCUAUUCAAUACCAAUCAUUGGGUAACACUCAAUUUUACCAAAUAAUUUCCAGAAACAAUACAUUACCUACCAACCUAAUCAAACAAUCACAUUAAUAUAUAUCUAAAGAAUAUAACCACUUACAAUACUACCAAAAAAAAUGAAAAUGAAGAGCACGACAAUACAGUAUUACAUGGGUUCUGUAUGUUGAUUCGAUCAUAUUAAAUAUGUAAAGCAUAAGAAGCAGAUACAUAAAGAUUUUGCGAUUGGAGCAACCCAAGCCAAUUACCUGCAAUAUCAGAAAGGCGGGGGUUUAUGUGUAGAUAUACAAGGUAACCGGCGGUUUUUGUGAUAAAAUUUGAAAUAGGCGCCCAUGCAUAUCUGGAGGGUAGACAAAAAGGGUAAAAACAAGGACAGAAGUGUCAUUAUAUACUGAAUGAAUUUGCUCAACCUAACACUCUUUUUCUCGUAUAAUAGAAUUAAGAUUAUAGAUUUAGAUUGUAAACAAGUCAAAUAAAUUUGGGGUAUUAAUUGUUAAAUUGAGCCCACAAGUUAUAAACGGCUCAUGGCAUAAUUGACAGGUUUGCUUGCUUUAUUUACGAAUAUACAAGCUCAAGUAACUCAAAAAUCCAAAAACAAUUGUGGCAACUUCAGUAAUGAUCCCAAAAAUUUGCUGGUGUAUAAACUUAAGCUCAUUAAGACAACAAAGAGAAUGAAACUGAAACUGCAAAGUUACAAUGUAAAUAUUGCAGUAAAAAUGAAACAACAAUGUGAAAAAAUUAUAAAGGCCGAGCCACAAAACCUCUAAUAACCAUUUUCUCUACCAAUUCUUCAUGUUUCUUUAUCUGUCCUGCUUUUCUCAGCUGCUGCAAAACCAUUUCAUACACUGCCUCACUAGGCUUCAAGCAUUUUUCUUCCAUCAUUUCUCUGAAAAACUUGUAAGCAUUAUUCCAGUGUCCCAUCCCACAAUAUAGGGAUAUCAGAAUCCUGUAAGUAUUCACAUGAGGCUCAAUCUCACCCUCGUCCAUCUCUUCUUUAAGCUUGAUAACCAUGUCAGCAGACUUAGAAUCAGCAAACAUCCUCAUCAGUAUAUUGUAUGUCACUGUAUUAGGCUUACACUUUAUCUCUUUCAUCCUCGCAAACAACCUGUGAGCAGAAUUAACAUCCCCUGCUUUCAAAAUACACCUAAAUAUCGGGUUAAAUGUAGAAGCAUUUGCCUCACACCCUUUUCUGACCAUUGUAUUGAUAACCUUAACAGCCUCAUCCCGAUUCUCAUCCCUACAAUGACUCUCUAUAAGAUAAUUAUAAGUAAUAGUAUCGGCAGCACAAGAUAGCUUCCUCAUCUGAUUAUACACCUGCAAAACCUUCUCUGUCCGUCCAGCCUUGACAUGCACCCGCAUCAAAUUAUUAAAUGUAAUAGAAUUCGGCUGACAUCCCACAUCAAUCAUCUCCGCAAACACAUCAUGAGCUCGCGUAAUCUGCCCACACCGACACAACGCAUCAAUAACAAUACUAUAAGUAUAAACAUUCGGCUGAAUCCCAACCUCCUUCAUCUCACUAAACACCCUUUCCGCCUCUGAAAUAUUCUCCGCCCUGCACCACCCAUUAACCAAACUAGUAUACACCACAACAUCCGCCUCAAACUUCCCCUUCAACCCAUCAAAAAACUCCUGAGUCUCAACCGCCCUCCUCUUCUUACAAAGAACCGAAACAACAUUAGUAAACGCAAUCUUAUCCGCCACACACCCAUACUCCCCCAUUCUAUUAAACGCAAGAAUCGCCUCACUAGCCAACCCCGCCCUCACAUACCGCCUAAUCAAAACCGAAAACGUCGAAUUCGACACCUCAAUUCCAUUCUCCUUCAUAUCAUCAAUCAAACCCCACGCCACAUCAAAUGCGCGCACCUUUCCACAAAGGUCAAUCAUAUCAUUAUAAGCAUCACUACACUAAUUUAUCAGCCCAAUUAAAGAACGCGAGAGUCUGGCUAAAGGGGAUACCGUGGCGGGGGGACCCGCAUUUGUGGAUGACAUGGCGAAUGACGUUGGGAGAGAGAGAGAUGGGAGAGAUUUGGGNCAAAGAACGCGAGAGUCUGGGCAAAGGGGAUACCGUGGCGGGGGGACCCGCAUUUGUGGAUGACAUGGCGAAUGACGUUGGGAGAGAGAGAGAUGGGAGAGAUUUGGGAGAGAUCGAAGGAGAGAGUGGGGAGAGAGAGAUUGGAGGUGGGGUUGGGGUUGUUUCGGUGGUGGGUUUUAAUUAGGGAGUGGAGUCGGUCAAAUUAGGGUUUCGGAUGGGGUGAGAUGGAGGAUGGGUUUGAUUAAUUCGGGUUCUUCGAGAGUUUGUAGGGCUGAAGAGGUGAGUGUUGAGAGAGGAGAGAUGAGGUGGGAGGGGAGACGGAGGCAUUGCUUUGACUUGAUUAUCAUGGCCGCCAUGGAUGAAGAGGUGACUUGAUGAGGUGGGAGG
rnacentral:lncRNA from 1 species